rnacentral:lncRNA from 1 species
CAAAUAACAAUGUGAUGGGAUUGGGAGGUGGUGUCUUAGCAGCGAUCAUAGUUAUGAUGAUACUCUUCUUCACCGCGAAUCAAUCUUGUGCGGCAGGAAACGUGAAAGGGAGUCCUUGUCACUUUUUUUUUUUUCAAAUCAAUCAAAUGUUUAAUUUCACGCUCAUCACAAGUUGAUUUGUUUUGUCAUUUGUGAUUGCGGGGUGUGUGUCUUCUUUUGGUUUGAUGCCUCACUGAUCUGAUCCGCAAUCUUAAACUUUAUUAAAAUUUAAAAAAAUUAUCAAGUUAUAUGGUUUAAUUUACAAUUUUUCUCUAUUUCUCUACUUGUAAAUUUUACAUUUUUUAAUAAAAGUUAUUAAAGUCUCGGAGCUAUUAAGGGUAUUUAUGACAUUUUCCUACUUGUAAUUAAUUUGAUCAUUAAAAAUAUAUAAGUUAUUUUCUCGAUUUAUAUUCAAACAUAUUUAAAUUUUAUAAAAAUAAAUUAAUGUCUUAGUUAAGCUUUCUAAUUUUUUUUCUGCUCGACGAAUUUGUAAAGACGUCGUUGUUAAGAAGGAAAUAAUUUCACUUUAUCUUUUUACUGCUUGAUUGGAACUCGGCAAUUUGAAAAAAAGGAAAGGAUUGAUGGUGAUGGAAAGAAUUGGGUAUGGAAAUAAAAUUGUGUGCCUUUAUAAUAAACUCAUUAAAAAUCAAAUUGAAUGAAUUUAAUUAUUAAUAUUAGGUUACAAUAUAAAAUGAAAUCUAAACCAUUCAAUUUUUUUUAGACUUACAUUUUUCCAUGAGAAUUACGUGUUAUGUGGAACUAAUUUUAAUUUACUUCCGUCAUCUUGUUACAGUGUUAGCUCUUUGUUCAUGAAUCGAUUAAUAAGUGGGUUUUUUCACUCAAAAGUUUUCAUCUUAUUAGCUUGGAUCAUCUUUUUCUUUUUCCCUUUCUUUUUCUCCUCGUUGUCUUCUAUUACCUACUCUCUCUCCUCUAUGAUGAGGAAUAAUGCUAUCUGAAAAUUCAUUGAUUUGUCGGUGUUUGAUUUAUGACAAGCGGAUUUCUCAUCCUACAGCUUUUUUUUGGGCCUGAUGAGUCCAUCUCAUUGGGUGGCCCAAGCUCAAGUUUCACUAAUUUGAAAAUUUAAAUAAUUAAAGAAAAUAAGUGGGCCUAAGUGAAAUUAGUCAAUAGAAAUCAUUAGAUAAAGAAGAGCAAAAGCAAGGGACUGGUAGGGAUGGUAACGGGUACCGUUUACAAUGGGUUUGUUAUUACCAAACUCAUAUUCACAUAAAAUUUAAAUUAUCAAAUCUAACUCGCAAUCUAUUGCAGGUGCUAAUUUUUUUAAAAAAAAUUCACCCGCUGCGGGUUUUGAUAAUUACCAAAUCCGUAAUGGUAUCCAAUGGAUUUUUUUUGCAGGUUUUUACAUUUAAAAUUACAAAUAUUUGAUAUGAAAAUUUAUAAUAAUAACGUAAAAUUCCACGUAAUAUACUCAGGGGCGGAUGCAGCAUGUGACCAGUGGGGGCUGCCAAAAAAAAUUAUAAAAAUAAAAGAGAGAAAAUUAGCCCUCAUUAAAUUUAUUAAAAUAGUCACUAUAAAUUAUAAACCCCAUAAAAUUUAAACUUUAACUUUUAAGAAUUAUAAAAACCUACAUUUUAAUUAAAAAUAAUAAUAGCUCACCACCCAAAAUAUUUUCUAUUCUCAAAAAUAGGAUCAAUUCUUCCGUUUUCUAUAAUAAUAGUAAAGAGAAUGUUUUCAGUAAUGAAACUCAUGAAGAAUCAUCUUUGAAAUUGGAUGAGAAAAAUGAUAGUUUGGUUGUUUAUAUAGGAAAUAAUAAAUUUACUAAUAUUGAUGGCGAGUCUAUCGCAUAACAUUUUUAAAAUAUGAAAUCCCGUAGAGAAUAAUUAUACAUGUGUUAACAAAUAUUUUAUAAAUUCAAAAUUUUAGUUUUUUAUAUUUUACUAUUAUCUAAUUUAAUCCCCAGUAAAUUAUUCUUGUAGAUCCGCCAUUGAAUAUACUCAAUUCUAAAUUUAACAAAUGUAAAUUGAAAAUUAAAAUUUCAACAUCAAUCAAACACAAAUUCUCAAUUUUAAGUAUGAAAUACACAAAUCAAUUAAAAAAAGCCACAAAUUAGUAUCUAAAUAUAAUAAUUAUCAUUUUAUAUUAUCAUUCAACACAUGCUCCUAGAGAAGUUCUUCAUUUCAUUCACCACUAUUAGCACCCAUCCAACAUGAUUCCUACAAUAAUGAUUAAAAUUAAUAUUUUUUAAAGAAUAAUACAUUUUAGAUACUAAUCUAGAAAACAAAAUUGUUGUAAUGAAAUAAUAUAUUCAUCGAAUUGAAGAAUAAUAGUUCAUACAAAAUUAUAAUAAGUAGAAUUUAAAUAUGUAUAUAAUAAUUCAUGCAUUAAGUUAAAGACAAUUCAAUCAAAAUUACAAUAAGUAUAAUUUUAGAUUUAAAUAUGUUUCUAUUAAAAUUAAAUUAAAAAAUAAUUAAAAAAGUUGAGGGUUGGCGAAUAUCCAUGCGGGUAUUUGUCGGAUAUUUGACUAAUGCCAAACCCACCCACAACCUAGUGCGGGUUUCAAUUUAUAAUACCAAACCGGCCUGCAACUCACAAAAUUACCCACAACAGGUGGGUUUUGGCGGGCAAGUUUAGGCGGAUUUGUGGGUACCAUUGCCAUCCCUAGCGGCAACCCUAGUUAGAAAACUAAAAAGGAAGAGAGGGGGGAGAGAGAGCGAAGAGACAAUGGGGUGAGCUUGGACUGGGGGUAAGGGUUUCAAUUUUUGAUUGGACAAUCGGAAGAUGAUUUUAACUCUGUUUUCUCCCAAAUUUGAAAGGUAAGUUCCUGGCAUCACCUUCUAUAAUCCUACUGGUUUUGAUUUUUAUUUUAUCCUCUCGUUAGUUAUUAUUUGCGAUACCCACUUAUUAGAGAGACAAUUAAUAGACUGUUACGUUAACCAAGAUUAUUGAGAUUUUUGAUGUCAUUAAUCUCUAGUGUUAUUUAGAUAAGAAUUUUAUUCUGUAAUCCCAUCAAUAUAGUGAAAUAUUAUAUCAGACUGAAAUCCUAUGGUUUUUCCUAUUUUGAGUUUUCUACGUAAAAAAUUAUGUUUCUUGUGAUUGAUUUAUUACUUUAAAUUUUGUUGCUUUAUUUUUUUACCUAUUUAUUUUGCCUACACACCCUAUUUUAAUCACACACAAAAAAAAAAUUAUUUAUGUUCAAUUUACAAUUAUUUGUGUGUGUCUCUUUCCUAGCAGGACCGAAUGAAAAAUGAUAUGGUAUUGACUACUCUAUCUUGACUGGUUGUGUUUUAAGAAAUCGCAUUUGCUCAUGAUUGGACUUAACAAAACAAUAUCCAGGGCGCUUGUAUUAACCCUGCUGUGUUUUUUCACAGUAUCCGUUUCUAUUCUUUAUAAGCUUUUAUGUCAAAUUACACAUGCAAAAUACAUAAUAAGAAUCUUUUUUUCCAUAUGUAUGCAUUUUGGAGCAGACACGUCGAGAGUCCAUCUCUAAAAUCGAAAUGGGGUGUGGAAAGUGUAUACAAGUAUUUGCCCAUAGCACAGCUACAGAAACGGCGCAGCCACAUUCUAUCAUUUUUGUACCCCCUUCUCAAACUGUUUGAUAAUAAUUUUUUAUAUCACUCUUUAUUUCACCAUACUCUAUUUUAAUUAAUUCGAUUUAUUUCUCAAUUACUUCUAUUAAAACUAUUUUAUCUCUAUUGUCUCUUACUUGCUUUUCUCAACAUAUUUGAACACUAGUGGUGUGUUUACUUACUAACAAUUGAAAUGAGAAUUUUCGAAUCGGAAUCAAUGACGCGUUUACUUGUAAAAUUUAAGGCUUAAAAUCGGAAUCGAAAUAGUAUCGAACCCACAAAUUUGAGAAUCACUACCAUAAUUCUAAUUCCCAAGCGAGGAGUUUGGAAUCAGAAUUUGAUUUCUAUAAAUACCCUUUUUACUCAUUAAAUUUUCAUAAUCUCUAAAUUGCUCCCAGUUCUGUUAUUUUUUCUUUUUGGUUCCCAUGAUUUAUUAAAAUUUUAAAUUAUUUACAAAUAAGUCAUUUAGUGUUUAUAAUAAUAAUAAUAAUAACAAUUGCUUGGUAAAGAUAUCAAAGUUUCAUAAUCGCAAGAUUAACGGCUGUAUAUGGUUCAACUGCGUGUGUAACUAAACGCAUGUGGGAGUAUGAAUCAAUGGGUCCACGAACUAAACAAGAAGACCACAAGCAUAGUGAGUCCCAUGAAUUUCUUUAUAAAAAUAAAAUAGUGUGUCCCGUUAUAUAUGCAUAUUAUUAAUUUUUCUUUUAUCUCUUCAUUUUAAACACCUUUCUCGUUUUAGUUAUCACAAUUAAACUCUUCUUUAGCACUUAAUAGAAGUACUUCUAUGAGUAUGGAUUUAGAGAGAGAGUGCGGCAGUAUUAACAGGUGGCAUAUUGUAAUAGGCUAAGAGCAAUAUCUGUAUAAAUAUUCUGAGUUCAUUCAUUAACUAAUAAGAUUCUUCUAGAUCCAUAAUAAAUUUUUCUCUCGUUUUCUCUUUACCCAAACAAGUCCUUCAAAUCUAAUAUCGUACAAUAAGUUGGCAGGUUUAAGGGCCAUGACUAAAUUACUGCAUGUGCGAAGAGUGGCCGGAAAAGUAAAUAACUGUAGAUAAUAAGAAGACGAAUUGACGAUCAAAGCAAUAAUACCAACCAGGCAAUAAUGCAUGGUGAGGAUAAGAUAACAUGUCUACGGCUGAAGUUUGAAUGUGAGAUUAUGGGCUAUAUAUAUAUUUCAAUUGAUGGGUCCACGAAAUAAGUUAAGCAAAGUAAAUAUUCUUUCCGUGUCAUCUGGUAAAAUGUGUUCCUAUGGACAAAACUAAUGACUGAGAGUAAUUUGGUAGUAAUUAUGGGGCGAUAAGGAUAAUUGCACUUCAUGGUUAAAACAUAAUCACAUAGAUGGCCCUUUUCACUAUUUUACUCUUUGACUCUAUUUAUCCAACAAAAAAUAGUACAUUUCAAUCCAAUAUUUUAUAACAAAUAAAAGUAUAAUAAUUAAAUCAAUGCAAAAAAAAAAAUGCAUUUUAAGUUAAAUUUAAUAUAAAUAAUCUGUUAAACAUAUUUAUGCAAAUUCCUAUCCUAUUAGAGAUUCAUGAUACCCAAAAGCAAAAAAAAAAUAUAUUGAAAAAAGGGUUGGGGAUAUUUACACUCUAAUAUAUAUUUUGGACACUCUAAUUUUAAUAAAAUUUUAUACUACUAAAAUACUAUUUAGGACAUUAAUAUAUUUUAAGAAAAUUUUAGCACUCUUAAAACUCACUAUUAUAGAAGAACUAAAUCUCAAAAAUUUUCCCAUUAUCAUCCAACUUAGGGCCCGUUUGGAAUUAUUUCUGGAAGGUUCAAAAGUGAUUUUAAAAAGCUAAAGCUAAUUUUGAUGUUUGAAUAUUUAAUCAAUUCUCUUCACAACUGAUUAUUUCUACAGUACAGAUAACAACAAUUAUUUUAAAAACUAUAACAUUAAUGAAGUGGACCUUAAUCCAUUGUAAAAAAACAAAAUACUUAGUUCUACAUGAUCAAGUCAUCAAGCGGCUGCACGCUCUUUACUUCAAUGUGACAAAAUAAUGAAAAAAAAAACUGAAUAAAUGAAGUUUCAUAGGGGAAGAUCAAAUUUCAAUACGAUUAACAAAUUGCAACAUUUAUAUGGAGGGACAUCAAAUGCAAAGUAAAGUUGAGUCAAUCGAUUAUAGCAUUCUUGGGCAUUAUGAGUUAUGACUUAGAGAAUGAUGAGAUGAGAUAUUUUGUGGGUAUAAAAUGAAAUCAAUAAUUAUUGGUGCGAGUUUAAUAAAAGACUAGUUUGGUGUUGGAAAGAGUGUGCGAGUAAAAAUUAUUUUAAAAAUUUUUUUAAUGAGUGUGCAGAGUAAUAAAGUAUUCAAAAUAAAUUUUAAAUCGCAAAUAGUCCACCCUUAGAAAGCUAAGCUUAUGUAUGUAGUGCUUUACACGUUCAUUAAACAUUUUAGUGAGAUCAUUCAAUCUUCAAUGAAAUCAUACUUGUUAAUCACUGUCAUGAUUGGUUAAUUCAAAAUUGAAUAUAUUUAUGGAAAGAUUUUAUUACUUUUACAAUUACACAAAUGAUGUGGUGGACAUCCUCCAUUUUGCACACCAUACAGCCAGUGGAAUAUGAGCCUCCCUUCUUUAGUGCCGCUUAUAAGGAUGAAAGCUUACAAUCGAUAGACGAAAUAUCCUUAUUAAACGGAUGUAAGAUAUUUUGUUUGGUUAAAUUAAAAUAUGGUGAUGAGUUAAUACUUACAAGAAUGAUUGAGGAAUCAAACCCGACAAAAGAUUAAUAAAAAUAUAUCCAAAACGAUGUCAUUUUGAUUAUGUUUUUGUCAGACUUUAGUUUAAAUGUCAGCACUCCAGUACUUAAUUAAUAUUUUUGUUUCAAAAAUUUAAUUCAUCUCUAUUUCUUUUUUAUUUUAUUUUAUGGUGAUCAUUUAUAGAUAUAAAAAUAGGCGUUAUAUUUGUGAAGAGAAAAAUGACAAUAUUAAUAUCAGUACAUCUACGAAAAAGAAAACAAUUAGCAGGGUAAUUAACUAGUUAAGCUCCUUGUUAUCUUACAACAGAAAAUUAAUCAUCAUAUGGUGUUAUUUUUUCUUUUUAAUUAAUAGCCUAUUAUUUGUGGAUUAAUAUAAUAUUAUUGUGUUUUAUUUUCAGGAAAAUGAGAAGGUCUCAUGGCUGUGCUCCUCGGCUCCUUCCUUUGAGCCCUCUUCUAGCCUCGCGGGCCAUCUUCUAGGCUCGCGCGAGGUCGAGGCCCGUCAUUCUAUACAAAUGACCGAUUCUUAAAUAAAAAGAAAUAAAUGUUUUAGUUCAGCUUUUUAACCUUUUUUACUGCUUGUCAAACUGAUUAGGGCCUCCUUUUUGAGAUAGAAUUAAUUUCUCCUUCUUUUUCUGAAGUUUGUCAUUUUUUUUUGGUUGUUGAAUGUAAAUAAACAUACACUUAUAAUUAAAAAACAAACAACUUUAUUUUUAAAGCAGUGCUAUAGAGUAAUAUGAAAUAUUUAACUUGUUUCAGUAUUUUGGUGAUGAGUGUAGGGUUCAUCUCACUUCGGUGGACCAAAAAGUCUAAAAUCUAAAAUAAUUUACUUGAUGUGUAAUUAUCGUAAAAUUUUAGACUUCGAUGAAAUUAACCAUAAAAUAUAUAAAGGAAAUAACUGAAGAAUUGCGAGAGCUGCAGCCAUUUCACAAAUUGGGAAGACAUUGCGAGAGAGAAAGAGGUAUUUUUUGGGUUCAAUAUUUAAUUAAAUGAUCAGAAGGUGAUUUUAACUCCGAUUUCUCCUAAAUUUGGAGGGUAAGUUCUAAAUUGCCCUCUAUAUUUUUAUUGGUGUUGAUUUGUAUUUUAUUCUCUCGGUGAUUGUUAUUUGAGAUACUCACUUAUUAGAGAAAAAUAUUUUAGAUCUAUUAUUAUAAGCCAAGAUUGUUGAGAAUCUUGAUGUUUUUAGUCUCGAGUGUUAUCUGGAGAAAAAUUCGUGCUAUAAUCCCAUUAAUAUAGUAGAAAUUUAUAUUGGACUACGGUCCUGUAGUUUUUUCCGAUUUGAGUUUUUCACAUAAAAAUCGGUGUCUCGUGUGGUUGAUUUGUUGCUUUGGAUUUAUUAGUUUAUUUUUCUACUUUAUUUGUUUGUGGUGCACAUCCUAUUUUAAUCACACAAAAAGGGCAAGAGUUUUGUUUUUGCUUAAUUUACAGCUGCUCUUGUAAGUCCAUUUCCCAAUAGAGUGGUAUCAAAGUGAGGUUAUGCUGUUUUUAUUACUUGUGUGGUUGAUAUGGAGGAGUCUUCGGUGUUCAUGAUUAAAUUAAAGUCAUGAAAUUAUAGUAUUUAGAAGUCUAGAAUGGAAGAUAUUCUCUACAUGAAAGACUUACAUAAACCUAUUAAAGGCGACGAAGCUAAACCCGCUGAUUUAAAUGAUAGGAAAUGGGCUCAAUUGAACCAGAAGACCAUAGGUACUAUUAGGUCAUGGAUUUAUCAGAGUGUGUACCAUCAUGUCGCGAAGGUAUCCAAGACUAAUGUUCUUUGGAGAAAACUAGAAACAAUUUAUGAACAACCAGCAGUAAAAAAUAGAGUCAAUCUGAUGAAAAGACUUGUUAACUUGAAAUAUAAGGAGGGCCGCAGUAUAACUGAACGCACUAGUGAGUUUCAGGGUUUGGUUAAUCAGUUGACUACUAUGAAGAUCAUUCUAGAUGAUGAGUUACAAGCAUUGUUGUUGCUUAGUUAUUUGCCUGAUAAUUGGGAGACAUUAGUGGUGUCAGUCAAUAAUGAAAUUUAAGUGUGCAACCAAAGAGGGGGGGUGAAUUGGAAAUUUAAAAAUUAUCCUAGCAAAUCCACACAACAAGCAAUCUAAUGCCUUAAUAAAAAUUGAAAGCAAUAAGUUUAAUAAAGGUACAAUAAUUAAAGAGUAAGGGAGAAGAGAAACAAACACACGAAUUUUUACGUGGUUCGGCAAUCCCCGCCUACGUCCACGCCUCCAAUCAAUCCAAGCUUGAGGAUUUCACUAUCCAAGCCUUUCCGAGGCUUCAACCGAUUACAAUUGACUUCGAGGUGUCAAUAAACCUUUACAACAAAGAGAUUAUCUCCAAAUCUCUUCACUCAAGUGUCUCACACACUCAAACUCUUACAAUUGAAAUGAAGAAAUGAAAGUUGCAAUGAAACUCACUCAAUGAGUAGAUAUUCAAAAAGGAAGAGCAAGGAAUGAUUCAAUAUUUUGUGUUUUGCAAGUUGAAAGCUCAAGAUAUCACGAGUGCUUUUUGUUUUUACUUGUUGGAGAGCUUCAAAAUGAGUUGGAUUUGAGUUCUUAUAGUUUGAGCUCAAAAACUAGCCGUUACUCACAUUCUGGGCGUAUUCGGCUUGCCGUUUAGCUAUCCGGUAAGCCGCUUAUAUGUAAUCGUUAAGGUAAAAUUUUGAAUUUCAAACUAUCCGACUUGCCACUUACGAAUCCGGUAAGCCGUUUAUGCUCCAGAAGCUUACUGGUCGAUAUCCGGUCUGCCGUUUAUGCUAUCCGGUAAGCCGCUUUCGAUUUGGAUACAUUCUGUCUAAUAUCCGGCUUGCCGGUUAUUGAUAUCCGGUAAGCCGCUUGCUACAGUAACUGCUACAGUGAAAUAUUUUCCAAAAUUUAUAGUUUGACCCCAAAACUUUAUAAAACUGUGGUAUGACCCAAAACGUUAUGAAAAUUUACAAAUAUGUCCAAUUUCAGAAUUUUAGAAUAAUGCUUUGUCAAUCCCACAACUUUAUGAAAUUAUGAUUUCACCCAAACUUUGUGAAAUUAUAGAAUGACCCAAAAAUAUUUAAAUAGUUUCAAAUAAGUGCAAAUCCGAAACUUUAAAAACAUUAUCAAAGCUUUUAAAAUACUUUCAUUUUAGUCUAAAAUACUUUAAUUCCAUAACAUCAUUUUCUUAUUAUAAAAGCACAAUUCAUAAAUCUUUGCUUAAUAAAUACAUGUGCUUUGUUAUCAUCAAAAUCAAUAUUUAUAGCCUUAUAGGCUAACAAAUAAUUCAGAGCCGAAUGGCAAAUUACCCUUGGAUAUGGCUACAGAUAAACUGCAGAAUGAAGAAUCUCGAAGAAAGAAUGCUGAAGUAGUUCCCUUUGAGUCAGCUGCACUUGUUUCAGAAAACCAAGAAAGAUGAGGAGGAGUCAAAGUAGAAAUUUUCGUCAACAGAAUAACGAUAAACUUAGAGGGAGAUCUAAGUCCCAAAGGAGAAGUAUCAAGUGCUUUCAUUGUUGGAAAAUGGGCCAUGUAAAAAUAAAGUGUAGAUUGUGGAAAAUAGAACAGGUAAAAGAAAAAAGGGGAUGCUUAGAAAAAUGACAAAGAGAAUACUGCAGUUGUAGUUGAUGGUGAUAUGGGUAUUGUUUAUAAUGAUAAUUCUAUAAAUCUCACUUGUCAUACAAGUGAUUGGGUAAUUGAUUCGGGUGCCUUAUUUUAUGUUAUUGCACAACGUGAUUACUUCAAAUCCUAUGUUAAUGGUAGUUAUGGUCAUGUUUAGAUGGGAAAUGAGGGAGCAUCCAAGAUUGUGGACAUUAGAGAUAUUUGCUUAAAAACCAAUGUUGGCUGUAAGCUACUUCUUAAAGAUGUCGGACAUAUACCAGAUAUUCGCCUUAAUUUGAUCUUUACAGGAAAACUUGAUGAUGAUGGUUAUACUAACCAAUUUGGUGAAGGAAAAUAGAAGCUCACCAAAGGAUGUCUAGUGUUGGCUAAAUGAAAGAAAAUGAACACUCUGUAUGUAAUAAAAGCCAAGAUCAAGAAAGAAGAUGUGGAUGUGGUUGUAAAAAAUUCUGACAUUGAGAUAUGACAUAAAAGGCUUGGUCAAAUUGGUGCGAAAGAGUUAGAAACUCUUGCCAGAAAAGAAUUUCUACCAAGUUUUGUAGAUAUAUCCUUCAAGACUUGUGUUUAUUGUUUAGUUGGAAAGAGACACAGAGAAACUUUUAAAAGUUUUUCUCUAUCUAGAAAGUCACAAAUCCUUGAUUUGAUUCAUACUGAUGUUUGUAUAAUGCAAAAUAGAUUAGUAAGAGGUACACUUUACUUUGUGACUUUUAUUGAUGAUUGUCUUAAAAAAGUGUAGGCUUUUGCUUUGAAAUCUAAAGAUCAAGUGCUUGAUAUAUUUAAGUUCUUUCAUAUUUAUGUUGAGAGGGGGACAAGAAAAAAAUUAAAAUGUGUCAAAGUAGAUAAUGGUGGUGAGUACAGAGGAUCAUUCAAGUAGUAUUGCAGAUCCCAAGGAAUUAGACUUGAGAAGAUUGUACUAAAAACCCAUCAGCAAAAUGGUGUUACAGAAAGGAUAAAUAGAACAAUUGAAGAAAAGAUCAGGUGUAUGCUUUUUGAUGUCAAACUCCCUAAAUCAUUCUGGGAAAAAGGCUAUACGUACUGCAGUUGAUUUGAUUAACCUUUCUCCUUCAGCUCCUUUAGAUAGUGAUAUACCUGAAAGAGUUUGGACUGAAAAAUAUACUUCUUAUAAACAUUUGAGAGCGUUUGGGUACAAAGCAUAUGUUCACAUCCCUAAAAAUGAGAGAUCGAAGCUUGAUGAUAAAGCUAAGGAAUACACUUUUAGGCUAUUAACAUGAAGAAUUUGGGUACAGAUUAUGGGACCCAGUAACAAAAAAAUUGAUAAAAAGUAGAGAUGUUGUGUUCCUUAAAGAUCAUAUAGUUGGUGAUACAGAGAAUAAUGAUGAGUCUCAAUUAUCUCCAGAGAUUCUUAUUAUUCUAACUUCAGUUUCUCCACCUGUUGUUCAUGAUGGUUUAGCAUAACCAAUUGAACAAGCACCUCCAGAACCACCAGCAUUACUAUUUGAGCUAGAAUUGAGAAGAUCCACUAGAGAAAGACGACUUUCCACUCAAUAUCCUCCAAAUGAGUAUGUGAUGCUUACAAAUGGAGGGGAACUAGAAUGUUUUGAAGAAUUCAUGUCUCACCAGUAUAAAAAUAAGUGGAUGAAAGUCACGCAAGAGGAGAUGAAAUCCUUGAGUGAGAACCAUACUUAUACCUUAGUAAAGCUUCCUAAAGGAAAAAGGGAACUGAAGAACAAAUGAGUUUAUAGGUUGAAGAUUGAAAAUAACUUACAACAGCAGACAAGACUAGAUUGGUUAUGAAGGGUUUCAGUCAAAAGAAAUGUGUUGAUUUUGAAGAAAUAUUUUCUCCUGUAGUGAAGAUGUCUUGUAUCUGAGUUGUUCUGGGAUUAGUAGCUUGCUUGGAUUUAGAGAUUGAACAUCUUGAUGUAAAUACAACUUUCUUGCACGGUGACUUAGAGGAGAAAAUAUACAUGGAGCAACAUGAAAGGUUCAAUGUCAAAGGCAAAAAAGAACUUGUGUGCAAAUUGAAGAAAAACUUGUAUGGACUGAAACAGGCAUCAAGAUAGUGGUAUAAGAAGUUUGAUUCUUUUAUGGAGAAUCAUGAUUUCAAUAAGAUUAUGUCUGACCAUUGUGUUUUUGUGAAGAAGUUUGGUUUCUUUUGCUUUAUGUAGAUGACAUAUUGAUUGUUGGCAAAUAUGCUAGUAAGAUUGACAAUCUGAAGAGAGAGCUUAGCAGUCUUUUGCAAUGAAGGACUUAAGAUCAACGAAACAAAUUCUCGGCAUGAACAUUUCCUGUGACAAAAAAAUAAAGAAGUUAUGGUUAUCUCAAGAAGCAUAUGUUGAAAAGGUUCUUGAAAGAUUUAACAUGGAUAAGUCAAAAUCUGUUUGUUCUCCACUUGCAGGCCAUUUCAAGCUUAGUUCUAAACAUUGUCCUACAAGUGAGAAAGAGAAGCAAGAGAUAAGAAAAGUUCUUUAUGCUUUAGCAAUUGGUAGUUUGAUGUACGCCAUGAUUUUUACAAGACCAGAUAUUGCUUAUGCAGUUGGUGUAGUCAGCCGAUUUCUCUCCAAUCCCAGCAAAGAACACUAGACAGCAGUAAGGUGGAUUCUAAGAUAUCUCAUAGACACUUCUAAAGCAUGUUUAUGUUUUGGUGGUGACAAACUUGUGUUACAUGUGUACACGGAUGCAGAUAUGAUAGGAGAUAUUGAUUCUAGAAAAUCUCUAUCAGGAUAUUUGCUCACCUUUGCACGGAGAGCAAUCUCAUGGCAAUCUAGACUUCAGCAGUGUGUUGCUUUAUUUACCACAGAAGCAGAGUAUAUUGCAGUUACUGAAAGCUGUAAAGAAACUUUUUGGAUGAAGAUUUUUCUACAAAAAUUGGGUGUUAAACAAAACAGCUACGAUGUGUAUUGUGACAGUCAAAGUGUCAUCCACUUGGCAAAGAAUUCAACAUAUCAUUUGAAAUCGAAGUAUAUUGAUGUGAGAUAUCAUUUGAUAGAGACGUACUUGAGUAUAAACAAUUGCAGUUUGAGAAAAUUCACACAACGAAAAAUGGGUCAGAUAUGAUGACAAAAUCAUUACCUAAGGACAAGAUGGAAAGUUGUAAGCAUAUAGUAGGCUUGGUGGUGCCUCUUAGAUGAGAUUGAGGGGGAUUUGUAAGGUCCAUCUCACUUCAGUGGACCAAAAAGCCUAAAGUCUAAAAUAAUUUAUUUGAUGUGUAAUUAUUACAAAAUAUUAGACUUGGAUGAAAUUAAUCAUGAAACAUAUAAAGGAAAUAACUGAAGAAUCUGCUGUACGGCCAAGGCGGAUGUACGGUACAGCAGUUUGGGUACAGAUUAUGGGACCCAGUAACAAAAAAAUUGAUAAAAAGUAGAGAUGUUGUGUUCCUUAAAGAUCAUAUAGUUGGUGAUACAGAGAAUAAUGAUGAGUCUCAAUUAUCUCCAGAGAUUCUUAUUAUUCUAACUUCAGUUUCUCCACCUGUUGUUCAUGAUGGUUUAGCAUAACCAAUUGAACAAGCACCUCCAGAACCACCAGCAUUACUAUUUGAGCUAGAAUUGAGAAGAUCCACUAGAGAAAGACGACUUUCCACUCAAUAUCCUCCAAAUGAGUAUGUGAUGCUUACAAAUGGAGGGGAACUAGAAUGUUUUGAAGAAUUCAUGUCUCACCAGUAUAAAAAUAAGUGGAUGAAAGUCACGCAAGAGGAGAUGAAAUCCUUGAGUGAGAACCAUACUUAUACCUUAGUAAAGCUUCCUAAAGGAAAAAGGGAACUGAAGAACAAAUGAGUUUAUAGGUUGAAGAUUGAAAAUAACUUACAACAGCAGACAAGACUAGAUUGGUUAUGAAGGGUUUCAGUCAAAAGAAAUGUGUUGAUUUUGAAGAAAUAUUUUCUCCUGUAGUGAAGAUGUCUUGUAUCUGAGUUGUUCUGGGAUUAGUAGCUUGCUUGGAUUUAGAGAUUGAACAUCUUGAUGUAAAUACAACUUUCUUGCACGGUGACUUAGAGGAGAAAAUAUACAUGGAGCAACAUGAAAGGUUCAAUGUCAAAGGCAAAAAAGAACUUGUGUGCAAAUUGAAGAAAAACUUGUAUGGACUGAAACAGGCAUCAAGAUAGUGGUAUAAGAAGUUUGAUUCUUUUAUGGAGAAUCAUGAUUUCAAUAAGAUUAUGUCUGACCAUUGUGUUUUUGUGAAGAAGUUUGGUUUCUUUUGCUUUAUGUAGAUGACAUAUUGAUUGUUGGCAAAUAUGCUAGUAAGAUUGACAAUCUGAAGAGAGAGCUUAGCAGUCUUUUGCAAUGAAGGACUUAAGAUCAACGAAACAAAUUCUCGGCAUGAACAUUUCCUGUGACAAAAAAAUAAAGAAGUUAUGGUUAUCUCAAGAAGCAUAUGUUGAAAAGGUUCUUGAAAGAUUUAACAUGGAUAAGUCAAAAUCUGUUUGUUCUCCACUUGCAGGCCAUUUCAAGCUUAGUUCUAAACAUUGUCCUACAAGUGAGAAAGAGAAGCAAGAGAUAAGAAAAGUUCUUUAUGCUUUAGCAAUUGGUAGUUUGAUGUACGCCAUGAUUUUUACAAGACCAGAUAUUGCUUAUGCAGUUGGUGUAGUCAGCCGAUUUCUCUCCAAUCCCAGCAAAGAACACUAGACAGCAGUAAGGUGGAUUCUAAGAUAUCUCAUAGACACUUCUAAAGCAUGUUUAUGUUUUGGUGGUGACAAACUUGUGUUACAUGUGUACACGGAUGCAGAUAUGAUAGGAGAUAUUGAUUCUAGAAAAUCUCUAUCAGGAUAUUUGCUCACCUUUGCACGGAGAGCAAUCUCAUGGCAAUCUAGACUUCAGCAGUGUGUUGCUUUAUUUACCACAGAAGCAGAGUAUAUUGCAGUUACUGAAAGCUGUAAAGAAACUUUUUGGAUGAAGAUUUUUCUACAAAAAUUGGGUGUUAAACAAAACAGCUACGAUGUGUAUUGUGACAGUCAAAGUGUCAUCCACUUGGCAAAGAAUUCAACAUAUCAUUUGAAAUCGAAGUAUAUUGAUGUGAGAUAUCAUUUGAUAGAGACGUACUUGAGUAUAAACAAUUGCAGUUUGAGAAAAUUCACACAACGAAAAAUGGGUCAGAUAUGAUGACAAAAUCAUUACCUAAGGACAAGAUGGAAAGUUGUAAGCAUAUAGUAGGCUUGGUGGUGCCUCUUAGAUGAGAUUGAGGGGGAUUUGUAAGGUCCAUCUCACUUCAGUGGACCAAAAAGCCUAAAGUCUAAAAUAAUUUAUUUGAUGUGUAAUUAUUACAAAAUAUUAGACUUGGAUGAAAUUAAUCAUGAAACAUAUAAAGGAAAUAACUGAAGAAUCUGCUGUACGGCCAAGGCGGAUGUACGGUACAGCAGUUUGGGUACAGAUUAUGGGACCCAGUAACAAAAAAAUUGAUAAAAAGUAGAGAUGUUGUGUUCCUUAAAGAUCAUAUAGUUGGUGAUACAGAGAAUAAUGAUGAGUCUCAAUUAUCUCCAGAGAUUCUUAUUAUUCUAACUUCAGUUUCUCCACCUGUUGUUCAUGAUGGUUUAGCAUAACCAAUUGAACAAGCACCUCCAGAACCACCAGCAUUACUAUUUGAGCUAGAAUUGAGAAGAUCCACUAGAGAAAGACGACUUUCCACUCAAUAUCCUCCAAAUGAGUAUGUGAUGCUUACAAAUGGAGGGGAACUAGAAUGUUUUGAAGAAUUCAUGUCUCACCAGUAUAAAAAUAAGUGGAUGAAAGUCACGCAAGAGGAGAUGAAAUCCUUGAGUGAGAACCAUACUUAUACCUUAGUAAAGCUUCCUAAAGGAAAAAGGGAACUGAAGAACAAAUGAGUUUAUAGGUUGAAGAUUGAAAAUAACUUACAACAGCAGACAAGACUAGAUUGGUUAUGAAGGGUUUCAGUCAAAAGAAAUGUGUUGAUUUUGAAGAAAUAUUUUCUCCUGUAGUGAAGAUGUCUUGUAUCUGAGUUGUUCUGGGAUUAGUAGCUUGCUUGGAUUUAGAGAUUGAACAUCUUGAUGUAAAUACAACUUUCUUGCACGGUGACUUAGAGGAGAAAAUAUACAUGGAGCAACAUGAAAGGUUCAAUGUCAAAGGCAAAAAAGAACUUGUGUGCAAAUUGAAGAAAAACUUGUAUGGACUGAAACAGGCAUCAAGAUAGUGGUAUAAGAAGUUUGAUUCUUUUAUGGAGAAUCAUGAUUUCAAUAAGAUUAUGUCUGACCAUUGUGUUUUUGUGAAGAAGUUUGGUUUCUUUUGCUUUAUGUAGAUGACAUAUUGAUUGUUGGCAAAUAUGCUAGUAAGAUUGACAAUCUGAAGAGAGAGCUUAGCAGUCUUUUGCAAUGAAGGACUUAAGAUCAACGAAACAAAUUCUCGGCAUGAACAUUUCCUGUGACAAAAAAAUAAAGAAGUUAUGGUUAUCUCAAGAAGCAUAUGUUGAAAAGGUUCUUGAAAGAUUUAACAUGGAUAAGUCAAAAUCUGUUUGUUCUCCACUUGCAGGCCAUUUCAAGCUUAGUUCUAAACAUUGUCCUACAAGUGAGAAAGAGAAGCAAGAGAUAAGAAAAGUUCUUUAUGCUUUAGCAAUUGGUAGUUUGAUGUACGCCAUGAUUUUUACAAGACCAGAUAUUGCUUAUGCAGUUGGUGUAGUCAGCCGAUUUCUCUCCAAUCCCAGCAAAGAACACUAGACAGCAGUAAGGUGGAUUCUAAGAUAUCUCAUAGACACUUCUAAAGCAUGUUUAUGUUUUGGUGGUGACAAACUUGUGUUACAUGUGUACACGGAUGCAGAUAUGAUAGGAGAUAUUGAUUCUAGAAAAUCUCUAUCAGGAUAUUUGCUCACCUUUGCACGGAGAGCAAUCUCAUGGCAAUCUAGACUUCAGCAGUGUGUUGCUUUAUUUACCACAGAAGCAGAGUAUAUUGCAGUUACUGAAAGCUGUAAAGAAACUUUUUGGAUGAAGAUUUUUCUACAAAAAUUGGGUGUUAAACAAAACAGCUACGAUGUGUAUUGUGACAGUCAAAGUGUCAUCCACUUGGCAAAGAAUUCAACAUAUCAUUUGAAAUCGAAGUAUAUUGAUGUGAGAUAUCAUUUGAUAGAGACGUACUUGAGUAUAAACAAUUGCAGUUUGAGAAAAUUCACACAACGAAAAAUGGGUCAGAUAUGAUGACAAAAUCAUUACCUAAGGACAAGAUGGAAAGUUGUAAGCAUAUAGUAGGCUUGGUGGUGCCUCUUAGAUGAGAUUGAGGGGGAUUUGUAAGGUCCAUCUCACUUCAGUGGACCAAAAAGCCUAAAGUCUAAAAUAAUUUAUUUGAUGUGUAAUUAUUACAAAAUAUUAGACUUGGAUGAAAUUAAUCAUGAAACAUAUAAAGGAAAUAACUGAAGAAUCUGCUGUACGGCCAAGGCGGAUGUACGGUACAGCAGUUUGGGUACAGAUUAUGGGACCCAGUAACAAAAAAAUUGAUAAAAAGUAGAGAUGUUGUGUUCCUUAAAGAUCAUAUAGUUGGUGAUACAGAGAAUAAUGAUGAGUCUCAAUUAUCUCCAGAGAUUCUUAUUAUUCUAACUUCAGUUUCUCCACCUGUUGUUCAUGAUGGUUUAGCAUAACCAAUUGAACAAGCACCUCCAGAACCACCAGCAUUACUAUUUGAGCUAGAAUUGAGAAGAUCCACUAGAGAAAGACGACUUUCCACUCAAUAUCCUCCAAAUGAGUAUGUGAUGCUUACAAAUGGAGGGGAACUAGAAUGUUUUGAAGAAUUCAUGUCUCACCAGUAUAAAAAUAAGUGGAUGAAAGUCACGCAAGAGGAGAUGAAAUCCUUGAGUGAGAACCAUACUUAUACCUUAGUAAAGCUUCCUAAAGGAAAAAGGGAACUGAAGAACAAAUGAGUUUAUAGGUUGAAGAUUGAAAAUAACUUACAACAGCAGACAAGACUAGAUUGGUUAUGAAGGGUUUCAGUCAAAAGAAAUGUGUUGAUUUUGAAGAAAUAUUUUCUCCUGUAGUGAAGAUGUCUUGUAUCUGAGUUGUUCUGGGAUUAGUAGCUUGCUUGGAUUUAGAGAUUGAACAUCUUGAUGUAAAUACAACUUUCUUGCACGGUGACUUAGAGGAGAAAAUAUACAUGGAGCAACAUGAAAGGUUCAAUGUCAAAGGCAAAAAAGAACUUGUGUGCAAAUUGAAGAAAAACUUGUAUGGACUGAAACAGGCAUCAAGAUAGUGGUAUAAGAAGUUUGAUUCUUUUAUGGAGAAUCAUGAUUUCAAUAAGAUUAUGUCUGACCAUUGUGUUUUUGUGAAGAAGUUUGGUUUCUUUUGCUUUAUGUAGAUGACAUAUUGAUUGUUGGCAAAUAUGCUAGUAAGAUUGACAAUCUGAAGAGAGAGCUUAGCAGUCUUUUGCAAUGAAGGACUUAAGAUCAACGAAACAAAUUCUCGGCAUGAACAUUUCCUGUGACAAAAAAAUAAAGAAGUUAUGGUUAUCUCAAGAAGCAUAUGUUGAAAAGGUUCUUGAAAGAUUUAACAUGGAUAAGUCAAAAUCUGUUUGUUCUCCACUUGCAGGCCAUUUCAAGCUUAGUUCUAAACAUUGUCCUACAAGUGAGAAAGAGAAGCAAGAGAUAAGAAAAGUUCUUUAUGCUUUAGCAAUUGGUAGUUUGAUGUACGCCAUGAUUUUUACAAGACCAGAUAUUGCUUAUGCAGUUGGUGUAGUCAGCCGAUUUCUCUCCAAUCCCAGCAAAGAACACUAGACAGCAGUAAGGUGGAUUCUAAGAUAUCUCAUAGACACUUCUAAAGCAUGUUUAUGUUUUGGUGGUGACAAACUUGUGUUACAUGUGUACACGGAUGCAGAUAUGAUAGGAGAUAUUGAUUCUAGAAAAUCUCUAUCAGGAUAUUUGCUCACCUUUGCACGGAGAGCAAUCUCAUGGCAAUCUAGACUUCAGCAGUGUGUUGCUUUAUUUACCACAGAAGCAGAGUAUAUUGCAGUUACUGAAAGCUGUAAAGAAACUUUUUGGAUGAAGAUUUUUCUACAAAAAUUGGGUGUUAAACAAAACAGCUACGAUGUGUAUUGUGACAGUCAAAGUGUCAUCCACUUGGCAAAGAAUUCAACAUAUCAUUUGAAAUCGAAGUAUAUUGAUGUGAGAUAUCAUUUGAUAGAGACGUACUUGAGUAUAAACAAUUGCAGUUUGAGAAAAUUCACACAACGAAAAAUGGGUCAGAUAUGAUGACAAAAUCAUUACCUAAGGACAAGAUGGAAAGUUGUAAGCAUAUAGUAGGCUUGGUGGUGCCUCUUAGAUGAGAUUGAGGGGGAUUUGUAAGGUCCAUCUCACUUCAGUGGACCAAAAAGCCUAAAGUCUAAAAUAAUUUAUUUGAUGUGUAAUUAUUACAAAAUAUUAGACUUGGAUGAAAUUAAUCAUGAAACAUAUAAAGGAAAUAACUGAAGAAUCUGCUGUACGGCCAAGGCGGAUGUACGGUACAGCAGUUUGGGUACAGAUUAUGGGACCCAGUAACAAAAAAAUUGAUAAAAAGUAGAGAUGUUGUGUUCCUUAAAGAUCAUAUAGUUGGUGAUACAGAGAAUAAUGAUGAGUCUCAAUUAUCUCCAGAGAUUCUUAUUAUUCUAACUUCAGUUUCUCCACCUGUUGUUCAUGAUGGUUUAGCAUAACCAAUUGAACAAGCACCUCCAGAACCACCAGCAUUACUAUUUGAGCUAGAAUUGAGAAGAUCCACUAGAGAAAGACGACUUUCCACUCAAUAUCCUCCAAAUGAGUAUGUGAUGCUUACAAAUGGAGGGGAACUAGAAUGUUUUGAAGAAUUCAUGUCUCACCAGUAUAAAAAUAAGUGGAUGAAAGUCACGCAAGAGGAGAUGAAAUCCUUGAGUGAGAACCAUACUUAUACCUUAGUAAAGCUUCCUAAAGGAAAAAGGGAACUGAAGAACAAAUGAGUUUAUAGGUUGAAGAUUGAAAAUAACUUACAACAGCAGACAAGACUAGAUUGGUUAUGAAGGGUUUCAGUCAAAAGAAAUGUGUUGAUUUUGAAGAAAUAUUUUCUCCUGUAGUGAAGAUGUCUUGUAUCUGAGUUGUUCUGGGAUUAGUAGCUUGCUUGGAUUUAGAGAUUGAACAUCUUGAUGUAAAUACAACUUUCUUGCACGGUGACUUAGAGGAGAAAAUAUACAUGGAGCAACAUGAAAGGUUCAAUGUCAAAGGCAAAAAAGAACUUGUGUGCAAAUUGAAGAAAAACUUGUAUGGACUGAAACAGGCAUCAAGAUAGUGGUAUAAGAAGUUUGAUUCUUUUAUGGAGAAUCAUGAUUUCAAUAAGAUUAUGUCUGACCAUUGUGUUUUUGUGAAGAAGUUUGGUUUCUUUUGCUUUAUGUAGAUGACAUAUUGAUUGUUGGCAAAUAUGCUAGUAAGAUUGACAAUCUGAAGAGAGAGCUUAGCAGUCUUUUGCAAUGAAGGACUUAAGAUCAACGAAACAAAUUCUCGGCAUGAACAUUUCCUGUGACAAAAAAAUAAAGAAGUUAUGGUUAUCUCAAGAAGCAUAUGUUGAAAAGGUUCUUGAAAGAUUUAACAUGGAUAAGUCAAAAUCUGUUUGUUCUCCACUUGCAGGCCAUUUCAAGCUUAGUUCUAAACAUUGUCCUACAAGUGAGAAAGAGAAGCAAGAGAUAAGAAAAGUUCUUUAUGCUUUAGCAAUUGGUAGUUUGAUGUACGCCAUGAUUUUUACAAGACCAGAUAUUGCUUAUGCAGUUGGUGUAGUCAGCCGAUUUCUCUCCAAUCCCAGCAAAGAACACUAGACAGCAGUAAGGUGGAUUCUAAGAUAUCUCAUAGACACUUCUAAAGCAUGUUUAUGUUUUGGUGGUGACAAACUUGUGUUACAUGUGUACACGGAUGCAGAUAUGAUAGGAGAUAUUGAUUCUAGAAAAUCUCUAUCAGGAUAUUUGCUCACCUUUGCACGGAGAGCAAUCUCAUGGCAAUCUAGACUUCAGCAGUGUGUUGCUUUAUUUACCACAGAAGCAGAGUAUAUUGCAGUUACUGAAAGCUGUAAAGAAACUUUUUGGAUGAAGAUUUUUCUACAAAAAUUGGGUGUUAAACAAAACAGCUACGAUGUGUAUUGUGACAGUCAAAGUGUCAUCCACUUGGCAAAGAAUUCAACAUAUCAUUUGAAAUCGAAGUAUAUUGAUGUGAGAUAUCAUUUGAUAGAGACGUACUUGAGUAUAAACAAUUGCAGUUUGAGAAAAUUCACACAACGAAAAAUGGGUCAGAUAUGAUGACAAAAUCAUUACCUAAGGACAAGAUGGAAAGUUGUAAGCAUAUAGUAGGCUUGGUGGUGCCUCUUAGAUGAGAUUGAGGGGGAUUUGUAAGGUCCAUCUCACUUCAGUGGACCAAAAAGCCUAAAGUCUAAAAUAAUUUAUUUGAUGUGUAAUUAUUACAAAAUAUUAGACUUGGAUGAAAUUAAUCAUGAAACAUAUAAAGGAAAUAACUGAAGAAUCUGCUGUACGGCCAAGGCGGAUGUACGGUACAGCAGUUUGGGUACAGAUUAUGGGACCCAGUAACAAAAAAAUUGAUAAAAAGUAGAGAUGUUGUGUUCCUUAAAGAUCAUAUAGUUGGUGAUACAGAGAAUAAUGAUGAGUCUCAAUUAUCUCCAGAGAUUCUUAUUAUUCUAACUUCAGUUUCUCCACCUGUUGUUCAUGAUGGUUUAGCAUAACCAAUUGAACAAGCACCUCCAGAACCACCAGCAUUACUAUUUGAGCUAGAAUUGAGAAGAUCCACUAGAGAAAGACGACUUUCCACUCAAUAUCCUCCAAAUGAGUAUGUGAUGCUUACAAAUGGAGGGGAACUAGAAUGUUUUGAAGAAUUCAUGUCUCACCAGUAUAAAAAUAAGUGGAUGAAAGUCACGCAAGAGGAGAUGAAAUCCUUGAGUGAGAACCAUACUUAUACCUUAGUAAAGCUUCCUAAAGGAAAAAGGGAACUGAAGAACAAAUGAGUUUAUAGGUUGAAGAUUGAAAAUAACUUACAACAGCAGACAAGACUAGAUUGGUUAUGAAGGGUUUCAGUCAAAAGAAAUGUGUUGAUUUUGAAGAAAUAUUUUCUCCUGUAGUGAAGAUGUCUUGUAUCUGAGUUGUUCUGGGAUUAGUAGCUUGCUUGGAUUUAGAGAUUGAACAUCUUGAUGUAAAUACAACUUUCUUGCACGGUGACUUAGAGGAGAAAAUAUACAUGGAGCAACAUGAAAGGUUCAAUGUCAAAGGCAAAAAAGAACUUGUGUGCAAAUUGAAGAAAAACUUGUAUGGACUGAAACAGGCAUCAAGAUAGUGGUAUAAGAAGUUUGAUUCUUUUAUGGAGAAUCAUGAUUUCAAUAAGAUUAUGUCUGACCAUUGUGUUUUUGUGAAGAAGUUUGGUUUCUUUUGCUUUAUGUAGAUGACAUAUUGAUUGUUGGCAAAUAUGCUAGUAAGAUUGACAAUCUGAAGAGAGAGCUUAGCAGUCUUUUGCAAUGAAGGACUUAAGAUCAACGAAACAAAUUCUCGGCAUGAACAUUUCCUGUGACAAAAAAAUAAAGAAGUUAUGGUUAUCUCAAGAAGCAUAUGUUGAAAAGGUUCUUGAAAGAUUUAACAUGGAUAAGUCAAAAUCUGUUUGUUCUCCACUUGCAGGCCAUUUCAAGCUUAGUUCUAAACAUUGUCCUACAAGUGAGAAAGAGAAGCAAGAGAUAAGAAAAGUUCUUUAUGCUUUAGCAAUUGGUAGUUUGAUGUACGCCAUGAUUUUUACAAGACCAGAUAUUGCUUAUGCAGUUGGUGUAGUCAGCCGAUUUCUCUCCAAUCCCAGCAAAGAACACUAGACAGCAGUAAGGUGGAUUCUAAGAUAUCUCAUAGACACUUCUAAAGCAUGUUUAUGUUUUGGUGGUGACAAACUUGUGUUACAUGUGUACACGGAUGCAGAUAUGAUAGGAGAUAUUGAUUCUAGAAAAUCUCUAUCAGGAUAUUUGCUCACCUUUGCACGGAGAGCAAUCUCAUGGCAAUCUAGACUUCAGCAGUGUGUUGCUUUAUUUACCACAGAAGCAGAGUAUAUUGCAGUUACUGAAAGCUGUAAAGAAACUUUUUGGAUGAAGAUUUUUCUACAAAAAUUGGGUGUUAAACAAAACAGCUACGAUGUGUAUUGUGACAGUCAAAGUGUCAUCCACUUGGCAAAGAAUUCAACAUAUCAUUUGAAAUCGAAGUAUAUUGAUGUGAGAUAUCAUUUGAUAGAGACGUACUUGAGUAUAAACAAUUGCAGUUUGAGAAAAUUCACACAACGAAAAAUGGGUCAGAUAUGAUGACAAAAUCAUUACCUAAGGACAAGAUGGAAAGUUGUAAGCAUAUAGUAGGCUUGGUGGUGCCUCUUAGAUGAGAUUGAGGGGGAUUUGUAAGGUCCAUCUCACUUCAGUGGACCAAAAAGCCUAAAGUCUAAAAUAAUUUAUUUGAUGUGUAAUUAUUACAAAAUAUUAGACUUGGAUGAAAUUAAUCAUGAAACAUAUAAAGGAAAUAACUGAAGAAUCUGCUGUACGGCCAAGGCGGAUGUACGGUACAGCAGUUUGGGUACAGAUUAUGGGACCCAGUAACAAAAAAAUUGAUAAAAAGUAGAGAUGUUGUGUUCCUUAAAGAUCAUAUAGUUGGUGAUACAGAGAAUAAUGAUGAGUCUCAAUUAUCUCCAGAGAUUCUUAUUAUUCUAACUUCAGUUUCUCCACCUGUUGUUCAUGAUGGUUUAGCAUAACCAAUUGAACAAGCACCUCCAGAACCACCAGCAUUACUAUUUGAGCUAGAAUUGAGAAGAUCCACUAGAGAAAGACGACUUUCCACUCAAUAUCCUCCAAAUGAGUAUGUGAUGCUUACAAAUGGAGGGGAACUAGAAUGUUUUGAAGAAUUCAUGUCUCACCAGUAUAAAAAUAAGUGGAUGAAAGUCACGCAAGAGGAGAUGAAAUCCUUGAGUGAGAACCAUACUUAUACCUUAGUAAAGCUUCCUAAAGGAAAAAGGGAACUGAAGAACAAAUGAGUUUAUAGGUUGAAGAUUGAAAAUAACUUACAACAGCAGACAAGACUAGAUUGGUUAUGAAGGGUUUCAGUCAAAAGAAAUGUGUUGAUUUUGAAGAAAUAUUUUCUCCUGUAGUGAAGAUGUCUUGUAUCUGAGUUGUUCUGGGAUUAGUAGCUUGCUUGGAUUUAGAGAUUGAACAUCUUGAUGUAAAUACAACUUUCUUGCACGGUGACUUAGAGGAGAAAAUAUACAUGGAGCAACAUGAAAGGUUCAAUGUCAAAGGCAAAAAAGAACUUGUGUGCAAAUUGAAGAAAAACUUGUAUGGACUGAAACAGGCAUCAAGAUAGUGGUAUAAGAAGUUUGAUUCUUUUAUGGAGAAUCAUGAUUUCAAUAAGAUUAUGUCUGACCAUUGUGUUUUUGUGAAGAAGUUUGGUUUCUUUUGCUUUAUGUAGAUGACAUAUUGAUUGUUGGCAAAUAUGCUAGUAAGAUUGACAAUCUGAAGAGAGAGCUUAGCAGUCUUUUGCAAUGAAGGACUUAAGAUCAACGAAACAAAUUCUCGGCAUGAACAUUUCCUGUGACAAAAAAAUAAAGAAGUUAUGGUUAUCUCAAGAAGCAUAUGUUGAAAAGGUUCUUGAAAGAUUUAACAUGGAUAAGUCAAAAUCUGUUUGUUCUCCACUUGCAGGCCAUUUCAAGCUUAGUUCUAAACAUUGUCCUACAAGUGAGAAAGAGAAGCAAGAGAUAAGAAAAGUUCUUUAUGCUUUAGCAAUUGGUAGUUUGAUGUACGCCAUGAUUUUUACAAGACCAGAUAUUGCUUAUGCAGUUGGUGUAGUCAGCCGAUUUCUCUCCAAUCCCAGCAAAGAACACUAGACAGCAGUAAGGUGGAUUCUAAGAUAUCUCAUAGACACUUCUAAAGCAUGUUUAUGUUUUGGUGGUGACAAACUUGUGUUACAUGUGUACACGGAUGCAGAUAUGAUAGGAGAUAUUGAUUCUAGAAAAUCUCUAUCAGGAUAUUUGCUCACCUUUGCACGGAGAGCAAUCUCAUGGCAAUCUAGACUUCAGCAGUGUGUUGCUUUAUUUACCACAGAAGCAGAGUAUAUUGCAGUUACUGAAAGCUGUAAAGAAACUUUUUGGAUGAAGAUUUUUCUACAAAAAUUGGGUGUUAAACAAAACAGCUACGAUGUGUAUUGUGACAGUCAAAGUGUCAUCCACUUGGCAAAGAAUUCAACAUAUCAUUUGAAAUCGAAGUAUAUUGAUGUGAGAUAUCAUUUGAUAGAGACGUACUUGAGUAUAAACAAUUGCAGUUUGAGAAAAUUCACACAACGAAAAAUGGGUCAGAUAUGAUGACAAAAUCAUUACCUAAGGACAAGAUGGAAAGUUGUAAGCAUAUAGUAGGCUUGGUGGUGCCUCUUAGAUGAGAUUGAGGGGGAUUUGUAAGGUCCAUCUCACUUCAGUGGACCAAAAAGCCUAAAGUCUAAAAUAAUUUAUUUGAUGUGUAAUUAUUACAAAAUAUUAGACUUGGAUGAAAUUAAUCAUGAAACAUAUAAAGGAAAUAACUGAAGAAUCUGCUGUACGGCCAACAUCUGCUGUACCGUACAUCCGCCUUGGCCGUACAGCAGAUUUAAUUCAUCUCUAUUUCUUUUUUAUUUUAUUUUAUGGUGAUCAUUUAUAGAUAUAAAAAUAGGCGUUAUAUUUGUGAAGAGAAAAAUGACAAUAUUAAUAUCAGUACAUCUACGAAAAAGAAAACAAUUAGCAGGGUAAUUAACUAGUUAAGCUCCUUGUUAUCUUACAACAGAAAAUUAAUCAUCAUAUGGUGUUAUUUUUUCUUUUUAAUUAAUAGCCUAUUAUUUGUGGAUUAAUAUAAUAUUAUUGUGUUUUAUUUUCAGGAAAAUGAGAAGGUCUCAUGGCUGUGCUCCUCGGCUCCUUCCUUUGAGCCCUCUUCUAGCCUCGCGGGCCAUCUUCUAGGCUCGCGCGAGGUCGAGGCCCGUCAUUCUAUACAAAUGACCGAUUCUUAAAUAAAAAGAAAUAAAUGUUUUAGUUCAGCUUUUUAACCUUUUUUACUGCUUGUCAAACUGAUUAGGGCCUCCUUUUUGAGAUAGAAUUAAUUUCUCCUUCUUUUUCUGAAGUUUGUCAUUUUUUUUUGGUUGUUGAAUGUAAAUAAACAUACACUUAUAAUUAAAAAACAAACAACUUUAUUUUUAAAGCAGUGCUAUAGAGUAAUAUGAAAUAUUUAACUUGUUUCAGUAUUUUGGUGAUGAGUGUAGGGUUCAUCUCACUUCGGUGGACCAAAAAGUCUAAAAUCUAAAAUAAUUUACUUGAUGUGUAAUUAUCGUAAAAUUUUAGACUUCGAUGAAAUUAACCAUAAAAUAUAUAAAGGAAAUAACUGAAGAAUUGCGAGAGCUGCAGCCAUUUCACAAAUUGGGAAGACAUUGCGAGAGAGAAAGAGGUAUUUUUUGGGUUCAAUAUUUAAUUAAAUGAUCAGAAGGUGAUUUUAACUCCGAUUUCUCCUAAAUUUGGAGGGUAAGUUCUAAAUUGCCCUCUAUAUUUUUAUUGGUGUUGAUUUGUAUUUUAUUCUCUCGGUGAUUGUUAUUUGAGAUACUCACUUAUUAGAGAAAAAUAUUUUAGAUCUAUUAUUAUAAGCCAAGAUUGUUGAGAAUCUUGAUGUUUUUAGUCUCGAGUGUUAUCUGGAGAAAAAUUCGUGCUAUAAUCCCAUUAAUAUAGUAGAAAUUUAUAUUGGACUACGGUCCUGUAGUUUUUUCCGAUUUGAGUUUUUCACAUAAAAAUCGGUGUCUCGUGUGGUUGAUUUGUUGCUUUGGAUUUAUUAGUUUAUUUUUCUACUUUAUUUGUUUGUGGUGCACAUCCUAUUUUAAUCACACAAAAAGGGCAAGAGUUUUGUUUUUGCUUAAUUUACAGCUGCUCUUGUAAGUCCAUUUCCCAAUAGAGUGGUAUCAAAGUGAGGUUAUGCUGUUUUUAUUACUUGUGUGGUUGAUAUGGAGGAGUCUUCGGUGUUCAUGAUUAAAUUAAAGUCAUGAAAUUAUAGUAUUUAGAAGUCUAGAAUGGAAGAUAUUCUCUACAUGAAAGACUUACAUAAACCUAUUAAAGGCGACGAAGCUAAACCCGCUGAUUUAAAUGAUAGGAAAUGGGCUCAAUUGAACCAGAAGACCAUAGGUACUAUUAGGUCAUGGAUUUAUCAGAGUGUGUACCAUCAUGUCGCGAAGGUAUCCAAGACUAAUGUUCUUUGGAGAAAACUAGAAACAAUUUAUGAACAACCAGCAGUAAAAAAUAGAGUCAAUCUGAUGAAAAGACUUGUUAACUUGAAAUAUAAGGAGGGCCGCAGUAUAACUGAACGCACUAGUGAGUUUCAGGGUUUGGUUAAUCAGUUGACUACUAUGAAGAUCAUUCUAGAUGAUGAGUUACAAGCAUUGUUGUUGCUUAGUUAUUUGCCUGAUAAUUGGGAGACAUUAGUGGUGUCAGUCAAUAAUGAAAUUUAAGUGUGCAACCAAAGAGGGGGGGUGAAUUGGAAAUUUAAAAAUUAUCCUAGCAAAUCCACACAACAAGCAAUCUAAUGCCUUAAUAAAAAUUGAAAGCAAUAAGUUUAAUAAAGGUACAAUAAUUAAAGAGUAAGGGAGAAGAGAAACAAACACACGAAUUUUUACGUGGUUCGGCAAUCCCCGCCUACGUCCACGCCUCCAAUCAAUCCAAGCUUGAGGAUUUCACUAUCCAAGCCUUUCCGAGGCUUCAACCGAUUACAAUUGACUUCGAGGUGUCAAUAAACCUUUACAACAAAGAGAUUAUCUCCAAAUCUCUUCACUCAAGUGUCUCACACACUCAAACUCUUACAAUUGAAAUGAAGAAAUGAAAGUUGCAAUGAAACUCACUCAAUGAGUAGAUAUUCAAAAAGGAAGAGCAAGGAAUGAUUCAAUAUUUUGUGUUUUGCAAGUUGAAAGCUCAAGAUAUCACGAGUGCUUUUUGUUUUUACUUGUUGGAGAGCUUCAAAAUGAGUUGGAUUUGAGUUCUUAUAGUUUGAGCUCAAAAACUAGCCGUUACUCACAUUCUGGGCGUAUUCGGCUUGCCGUUUAGCUAUCCGGUAAGCCGCUUAUAUGUAAUCGUUAAGGUAAAAUUUUGAAUUUCAAACUAUCCGACUUGCCACUUACGAAUCCGGUAAGCCGUUUAUGCUCCAGAAGCUUACUGGUCGAUAUCCGGUCUGCCGUUUAUGCUAUCCGGUAAGCCGCUUUCGAUUUGGAUACAUUCUGUCUAAUAUCCGGCUUGCCGGUUAUUGAUAUCCGGUAAGCCGCUUGCUACAGUAACUGCUACAGUGAAAUAUUUUCCAAAAUUUAUAGUUUGACCCCAAAACUUUAUAAAACUGUGGUAUGACCCAAAACGUUAUGAAAAUUUACAAAUAUGUCCAAUUUCAGAAUUUUAGAAUAAUGCUUUGUCAAUCCCACAACUUUAUGAAAUUAUGAUUUCACCCAAACUUUGUGAAAUUAUAGAAUGACCCAAAAAUAUUUAAAUAGUUUCAAAUAAGUGCAAAUCCGAAACUUUAAAAACAUUAUCAAAGCUUUUAAAAUACUUUCAUUUUAGUCUAAAAUACUUUAAUUCCAUAACAUCAUUUUCUUAUUAUAAAAGCACAAUUCAUAAAUCUUUGCUUAAUAAAUACAUGUGCUUUGUUAUCAUCAAAAUCAAUAUUUAUAGCCUUAUAGGCUAACAAAUAAUUCAGAGCCGAAUGGCAAAUUACCCUUGGAUAUGGCUACAGAUAAACUGCAGAAUGAAGAAUCUCGAAGAAAGAAUGCUGAAGUAGUUCCCUUUGAGUCAGCUGCACUUGUUUCAGAAAACCAAGAAAGAUGAGGAGGAGUCAAAGUAGAAAUUUUCGUCAACAGAAUAACGAUAAACUUAGAGGGAGAUCUAAGUCCCAAAGGAGAAGUAUCAAGUGCUUUCAUUGUUGGAAAAUGGGCCAUGUAAAAAUAAAGUGUAGAUUGUGGAAAAUAGAACAGGUAAAAGAAAAAAGGGGAUGCUUAGAAAAAUGACAAAGAGAAUACUGCAGUUGUAGUUGAUGGUGAUAUGGGUAUUGUUUAUAAUGAUAAUUCUAUAAAUCUCACUUGUCAUACAAGUGAUUGGGUAAUUGAUUCGGGUGCCUUAUUUUAUGUUAUUGCACAACGUGAUUACUUCAAAUCCUAUGUUAAUGGUAGUUAUGGUCAUGUUUAGAUGGGAAAUGAGGGAGCAUCCAAGAUUGUGGACAUUAGAGAUAUUUGCUUAAAAACCAAUGUUGGCUGUAAGCUACUUCUUAAAGAUGUCGGACAUAUACCAGAUAUUCGCCUUAAUUUGAUCUUUACAGGAAAACUUGAUGAUGAUGGUUAUACUAACCAAUUUGGUGAAGGAAAAUAGAAGCUCACCAAAGGAUGUCUAGUGUUGGCUAAAUGAAAGAAAAUGAACACUCUGUAUGUAAUAAAAGCCAAGAUCAAGAAAGAAGAUGUGGAUGUGGUUGUAAAAAAUUCUGACAUUGAGAUAUGACAUAAAAGGCUUGGUCAAAUUGGUGCGAAAGAGUUAGAAACUCUUGCCAGAAAAGAAUUUCUACCAAGUUUUGUAGAUAUAUCCUUCAAGACUUGUGUUUAUUGUUUAGUUGGAAAGAGACACAGAGAAACUUUUAAAAGUUUUUCUCUAUCUAGAAAGUCACAAAUCCUUGAUUUGAUUCAUACUGAUGUUUGUAUAAUGCAAAAUAGAUUAGUAAGAGGUACACUUUACUUUGUGACUUUUAUUGAUGAUUGUCUUAAAAAAGUGUAGGCUUUUGCUUUGAAAUCUAAAGAUCAAGUGCUUGAUAUAUUUAAGUUCUUUCAUAUUUAUGUUGAGAGGGGGACAAGAAAAAAAUUAAAAUGUGUCAAAGUAGAUAAUGGUGGUGAGUACAGAGGAUCAUUCAAGUAGUAUUGCAGAUCCCAAGGAAUUAGACUUGAGAAGAUUGUACUAAAAACCCAUCAGCAAAAUGGUGUUACAGAAAGGAUAAAUAGAACAAUUGAAGAAAAGAUCAGGUGUAUGCUUUUUGAUGUCAAACUCCCUAAAUCAUUCUGGGAAAAAGGCUAUACGUACUGCAGUUGAUUUGAUUAACCUUUCUCCUUCAGCUCCUUUAGAUAGUGAUAUACCUGAAAGAGUUUGGACUGAAAAAUAUACUUCUUAUAAACAUUUGAGAGCGUUUGGGUACAAAGCAUAUGUUCACAUCCCUAAAAAUGAGAGAUCGAAGCUUGAUGAUAAAGCUAAGGAAUACACUUUUAGGCUAUUAACAUGAAGAAUUUGGGUACAGAUUAUGGGACCCAGUAACAAAAAAAUUGAUAAAAAGUAGAGAUGUUGUGUUCCUUAAAGAUCAUAUAGUUGGUGAUACAGAGAAUAAUGAUGAGUCUCAAUUAUCUCCAGAGAUUCUUAUUAUUCUAACUUCAGUUUCUCCACCUGUUGUUCAUGAUGGUUUAGCAUAACCAAUUGAACAAGCACCUCCAGAACCACCAGCAUUACUAUUUGAGCUAGAAUUGAGAAGAUCCACUAGAGAAAGACGACUUUCCACUCAAUAUCCUCCAAAUGAGUAUGUGAUGCUUACAAAUGGAGGGGAACUAGAAUGUUUUGAAGAAUUCAUGUCUCACCAGUAUAAAAAUAAGUGGAUGAAAGUCACGCAAGAGGAGAUGAAAUCCUUGAGUGAGAACCAUACUUAUACCUUAGUAAAGCUUCCUAAAGGAAAAAGGGAACUGAAGAACAAAUGAGUUUAUAGGUUGAAGAUUGAAAAUAACUUACAACAGCAGACAAGACUAGAUUGGUUAUGAAGGGUUUCAGUCAAAAGAAAUGUGUUGAUUUUGAAGAAAUAUUUUCUCCUGUAGUGAAGAUGUCUUGUAUCUGAGUUGUUCUGGGAUUAGUAGCUUGCUUGGAUUUAGAGAUUGAACAUCUUGAUGUAAAUACAACUUUCUUGCACGGUGACUUAGAGGAGAAAAUAUACAUGGAGCAACAUGAAAGGUUCAAUGUCAAAGGCAAAAAAGAACUUGUGUGCAAAUUGAAGAAAAACUUGUAUGGACUGAAACAGGCAUCAAGAUAGUGGUAUAAGAAGUUUGAUUCUUUUAUGGAGAAUCAUGAUUUCAAUAAGAUUAUGUCUGACCAUUGUGUUUUUGUGAAGAAGUUUGGUUUCUUUUGCUUUAUGUAGAUGACAUAUUGAUUGUUGGCAAAUAUGCUAGUAAGAUUGACAAUCUGAAGAGAGAGCUUAGCAGUCUUUUGCAAUGAAGGACUUAAGAUCAACGAAACAAAUUCUCGGCAUGAACAUUUCCUGUGACAAAAAAAUAAAGAAGUUAUGGUUAUCUCAAGAAGCAUAUGUUGAAAAGGUUCUUGAAAGAUUUAACAUGGAUAAGUCAAAAUCUGUUUGUUCUCCACUUGCAGGCCAUUUCAAGCUUAGUUCUAAACAUUGUCCUACAAGUGAGAAAGAGAAGCAAGAGAUAAGAAAAGUUCUUUAUGCUUUAGCAAUUGGUAGUUUGAUGUACGCCAUGAUUUUUACAAGACCAGAUAUUGCUUAUGCAGUUGGUGUAGUCAGCCGAUUUCUCUCCAAUCCCAGCAAAGAACACUAGACAGCAGUAAGGUGGAUUCUAAGAUAUCUCAUAGACACUUCUAAAGCAUGUUUAUGUUUUGGUGGUGACAAACUUGUGUUACAUGUGUACACGGAUGCAGAUAUGAUAGGAGAUAUUGAUUCUAGAAAAUCUCUAUCAGGAUAUUUGCUCACCUUUGCACGGAGAGCAAUCUCAUGGCAAUCUAGACUUCAGCAGUGUGUUGCUUUAUUUACCACAGAAGCAGAGUAUAUUGCAGUUACUGAAAGCUGUAAAGAAACUUUUUGGAUGAAGAUUUUUCUACAAAAAUUGGGUGUUAAACAAAACAGCUACGAUGUGUAUUGUGACAGUCAAAGUGUCAUCCACUUGGCAAAGAAUUCAACAUAUCAUUUGAAAUCGAAGUAUAUUGAUGUGAGAUAUCAUUUGAUAGAGACGUACUUGAGUAUAAACAAUUGCAGUUUGAGAAAAUUCACACAACGAAAAAUGGGUCAGAUAUGAUGACAAAAUCAUUACCUAAGGACAAGAUGGAAAGUUGUAAGCAUAUAGUAGGCUUGGUGGUGCCUCUUAGAUGAGAUUGAGGGGGAUUUGUAAGGUCCAUCUCACUUCAGUGGACCAAAAAGCCUAAAGUCUAAAAUAAUUUAUUUGAUGUGUAAUUAUUACAAAAUAUUAGACUUGGAUGAAAUUAAUCAUGAAACAUAUAAAGGAAAUAACUGAAGAAUCGCGAGAGUUGUAGCCAUUUCACGAACGGGGAAGACGCCGCAAGAGAGAAAGAGGUAUUUUUUGGGUUCAAUCUUUGAUUAAACAAUCGGAAGGUGAUUUUAACUUUGAUUUCUUUCAAAUUUGGAGAGUAAGUUUCUGACAUCGCCCUCUACAUUUCUACUGGUGUUGGCCUGUAUUUUAUUCUCUCAGUGGUUGUUAUUUGAGAUACUCACUUAUUGAAGAAAUGUAUUUUAGAUUUACUAUUGUAAGCCAAGAUUGUUGAGAAUCUUGAUGUUUUUAACCUCUAAUGGUAUCUAGAGAAGAAAUUUGUGUUGUAAUCCCAUUAAUAUAGUGGAAGUUUAUAUCAGACUAUGGUCUUGUGGUUUUUCCUGAUUUGGGUUUUUCACAUAAAAAUCAAUGUCUCUUGUGAUUGAUUUAUUGCUUUGGAUUUAUUGGUUUAUUUUUCUACCUAUUUGUUUGUGAUACACAUCUUAUUUUAAUCACACAAAGAGGAAAAUAAUUUUGUUUCCGUUUAAUUUACAACUACUCUUGUAAGUCUCUUUCCCAACCAUGAGACAUUUGUGGGGCUUUGGAGUAACAAAAGAAAGGAAAGGAUAGAUAUAUUUUGAAGGAAAGGAGUUGCGAAGGGAAAUAAAAUUGUGUGUUUUGAGAAAGUGUAUUAAAUGCCAAAUGGAAUGAAUUUAUUAAUUUAUUGAUUCAUAAUUGAUCAAAUCUCUUUUAUUUUAUUAAUCAACUAUUUUUUCAAUGCAUUAAAUUAUUUGGUAUCUGAAAACCACAUUAAACCCCGACUAAUUAAUCAACUAUUUUUUUAUUAUUAUAAUAGACUAUUAAAUAUACGUAGCACACUUCUAUUUUAUCGAUCCCUCAGCCAAAAUACUAUUAAUUACCGAACUAAUUUGUUAAAAUUUCCUGUAAAGGACGUAUAAAUUGCUGCCGUGGAGAUCUUUUCAAAGGAUGUGAACAUUGCUGUGUUGGAUAUAAAAUGCAAAGGAUAUGAAUGUACAUGGAGAUUAUCGUUUAUCGUUUUUGCUUUUUCAAGGUUGGUAAAUGGAAGAUUAAAGAAGCAGCAGAUCACCGAGGAGGAUUCACUAACAUUGGUGAUUUUAGGGGUUUCCUUGAGAUUACAUCUUUUGUUGAGCUGGAUGUAUAGAGUUGUUACUGUUCAGCUAGUUGGGGUUGCACUAAAGAAGCGGCUGCCACCGUAUUGUGUAGCAGAACCAUAAGCAGCAUUAGUCUCCUUAAUGAGCUGCUUGAAUUCAAUCAACGCUCGCCGCUGGAUGUAAUUGUAUUUUUCCAACUCUUUACAAUGAUCUUCUGUAGAAUAUAUUAAUUCCGUUUCACAGGCCUUGUUAAGAACGUCAAUGAAUGUCUCCAGCUUUGAUGUCUCCUCAGGGGUCUCUUUCACUAAAACUCCAUCAUGAGAAAAUUAAUUUAACUAGCGUUGUAUCAGAAAGUUUUAGUAUUGAGUUUAAUGUUUUUCGGUGCCUAGUUUGAUAGUCUCAUAUAGAGAAGAUUUUCUAUUUCCGUUUUGACACCGGUUUGAGGACAUACGAUUCCUAAUUCAAGUAGUAGUCUCCUGAGAAUCCGAAAGCCAGGGGAUAAAAGGAAGGAUGCGGCCCUUCAAAUUGGAUCAAAACUCUUUUGCAUUAAAUUUUCAUCUAUAAAGCCUUCAGAUUUUAAUUAUGUUUAAUUAUAACAUAAAAAUAUAAUUACAUUGAUAUUUUGUUAAAUAUGCUUAACCGAGUUAUUAUGGAUAAAGCAAUGCACCUCAUAGUAAACAACCUAGAGAAAGUCCUAAGAACCAGCCCAACGGAGGAGAGGAUAGAUCAUAGAAGUUGGAUCUUGGGUGAGAGAAAAUUGAGGGAGUUGGAUCUUGGGAGAGAGAAAAUCGAGGGAUGGAUAGGAAGUAAAAAGAACAACAUAUCUCUUUGUAAAUAUCAAGUCUACUACAUCAAAUAAAAACAGAGGGCCUAUUUAUAGGCAAGUUACAAGUAUAGCUCUAAACAGAAAAUAAGAGGGAAAAAAAACACAAGGUCCCCUAAUAAAAACAUGAACAAACUAGCAACAAGAUAACUCCUAAACCCUGUGAAAAAUUAAAGAAAUUGCAUCACAUUAGAAUCAAAAUAUUUGAACAAACCCUUACUCACACUUGAUUGACUUGUAUAUAUGUCGAACAAAGAGCAGUGAAGCACGGAAACCCACUGUGCCCAGCAUAAGGAAGAAGCCAUAACAGACGCAAGCCAUGUACCCAAAGAAAAAUGAGGUCUGCAUAAAACCUGACAUAUCUGAUCGUGCAUAGUAGUAGUACAGGCAGUAGGCAUAGAUGAAAACACCAGUAGAUCCACCACAAAGAAAAGACCUGUGCAAAAUUCAAGACCCAAAAUUAGUCCAAAAAGUAAACAUGAAGGUAGCAAUUGACAAUUGAUCCAAGUUAAAUUAAUUUGGAAAGCCAACCAACGACAUAAAUUUGUAAUGUAUUAAAUAUACACUUGUUUUAUACCCAAAAACACCUCAUUCUCUCAAACCAGUUCAUCGACUUCUACAGCUAUGGGCAAUUGUCAAACACUGGAACUUGAUAGCCCAGGAGCUUGUGGGAUGUGGUAUGUCUCAACUAGACUGCCCAAACUGAUCCCUGAACACUUGGUUGAGAACCAAAUAUCUUAACCACUAAAAAUUAAUUAAUAUGCUAACAGUAUAACAUAAUAUACAUAGGUAAGUGAUCGUCUGUAUAUAAAGAGGCUAUACAAGUGCAAACCUAAUAAAAAAUUGAGAUAGCAACCAAAAGAAGGCUUAAUUAUAGAGUCUGCAGGCAACAUUAAAUUCACGGCUAAUAGAAAGACACCUGGUGAUAGCUAUUUAUUCCACACAAAAGAAAUUUAAUUAUGUGAACAUCCAGCAGCUCAAGGCACACUAGCCUAUUUAUGUCAAAAUAAUCCCAAAAUGUUCCUCAGAAGUCUAACAUCCAGGAGAGACAAAAUGUAACCUUUUCACACACUGCUGCCACCUAAGAUAUUCUAGAACAUGAGGUCUUAGAACUGAAUGUCACCCAUUCAUAGUAAAGAUAGCGUCUAGUUUACCUUCAAGGAAGGGAGGGAGAAAAGGUAAAACAGAAAGAUGUUCAAGUACAAAAAUACUCGGAGUUUUAAUAUUUUUGCCAAAAGUCUAUUUUUAAGCAGUAUAUGCAAUACAUAUUGCAUUUGAAGCUUACUUAAUACGUUUUCGGCAUCAAGUAUCAACCUAAAAUGAUAAUAGCUAAAAUCCGCACAACACAACAAAAUAUGCGUCCCUCCCAAAUACAAAUAGUUAACGAAUAAGACCAAUGUGGAAAACAAAACCAAACAAUAAGAACAAUAAGUUGCUAAUGUUUAAACCAUCAAAAAUUAAGAAGCUUAAGUGCGCCAAACAGCAAAAGCGUACUGCAUAUAACCACUAAAGUUACAUCUAAACUUGUAUGAACAUACAGCAAUUAGAAAGCACCUUAUACAGUAAGUGGGCUCAGUAUGGGUGAAUGAAUGAACCAGAAUAAAAUUCGGUAAUCUCCUGGUUGAACACAACAGUCUAAAACCCAAAACAAGUAAUAAGCUAAGCCAUAUAAGAAAGUAGAAGUGUCCCAAGGGGCAGUCUAGCUAACCACAAUCUUAUUCUUAUUGGAAUAUGAAUUUGCUCAACGCUGUGCAGUGGAAUGAUAUUUUAUAAUAAACUCCAACUUUGGUGAAGUCAAAACAAAAUUGAUCUAACAUUCAAUCACCAAUUAUGACACACCACAUUUUGAUUAAAAGAGGAAAAAGCUUGCCAAGAGAAAUAAACUACCUCAACUUAUCAAACCAAAAACAGAAAUAAACAUCAAAAAGAGACCCCAAAAAAAAAAACUACAAGAAAUAACAAGUUCAAAAUUUCACAUUGUGAUUAUUAAAGAGAUGAAAAGGGAAAAAAAAUAAAAUCAAAAUAGACAAGAGAGUUUACAUACCUCCACCACCAUUCAUGAUCUUCAGCAGCAAGUUGGAAGUAAGUCAAAGCCACAGUUAUGAAAGCAGUAACAAUCAACAGAAUGAUAAAGACAAUAAAGAGGAUGCUGUAUAUUGUGUAAAUCCUGUGGCCCCAAACACUGGCAAAAAUAUAGUAAAGCUCAAUGUAGAUGGCACUAAAUGGCAGGAAACCUGCCAUUGCCAUCUGUGGAAUAGCACUCCUAUACCAAGGUAGUGGUGGGAUCUCUCGAGGGUACUUAGUCGUACGACAAGGAGCUUGGAACUCUGCCUUGCUGUUUUUACCAGCAAUACCUCCCAACACAAGUAGAGGUGAUGUGACUAAUGUCCAUAUGAGGACUAUCACCACAAUUGUGCCAAAUGGCAGUGCUGCUGUCGCAUUGUAAGCAAUGGCAACGGUGUUCAGGAAGCAGAAUGUCAGAAACAGAGGACCACAGAAAAGGCAUCCAGUCAGCAACAGAUUCCUCACCUGUCAAACCAACAAUUUGGAAAUAAAUUAUUUCACAACAUCCAGUUUUUAGAAAGAUCAUGCCUAGAAGUUAUAAUAGCCCAAGACAUAGUUAAUUCAAGCAUACCCAGUUUGUUCCUUCUAGCUGACAGUAGAAAGAGGCAGCUGUAUAUCCCGCAAUCCCAGAAGUGAGUGCAUAUAUGACCACCAGUGCCGUAAAUAGAGCUCCUCGGUUGUAUGGAUAAAAUACACCCACUAGCGCAAGCAUAAAAAUAAAUACAGUGCUGGAAAUGAAUGCAAUUCAAUCAAAAAUCAAUGGUUGGCAUAAAAUGGCAUCAUAACAAACUGAAUGAAAUUUGAACAAAUAACAGUGUAACAUUCUUACAGAGUAAACAACUGGCUGCCAGAACCAAGGGCUGCAGCAAACAAAGAUUUGUAUUUGGGGAACCGGAACACAUCACCAUGGAUGUACUUCCAUCCUGUCUCUUCCUGGUCAUCAGCAGCUUCCUCAUCUUGGGCAUACCUAUCAAUAAAUUAAACAUACAUGGUAAAACACUUAAGGAAGAAAAGAUAUAUCAGUAGAUAAGCAAAUGAAGGUAAGAAAUUUAAAAUACAAAACUCACUUCACAAAAUCAUUCUUCAGAACUCGCAUGAGAAUCGUGGCAAGAAAACCAGUCAAAAGCAAAACCGUUACACAUGAAUUUAUAAUUGAAAACCAAUGAAUUUCCAAAUGAUGUGGCAACGAAGAAGAGAGUGAGUACUUCUCCAUCCUCUUCUCAAAAGGGGUGUCAGUUUCCUUCCAUUUCACACUGUACAUGAACUCCACAUCAACCUCCUUAUCCUCUGUCAAGUCCACCAAAGAAUGAGGAUCCAUUCGAGCACUGAUCUCAAUAACACGGUCUUUGUUAUAAAGAAUGUCAAACUGGAUAUGCUUGUAAAGGAAAUACUUAUACUCGUUCGGAUGAGUCUUUCCUUCCUUGUCAACUUUGCCAAUGAACCCCCAGAUGGGUAAGUCAUCAUAGUACAUUUGGAAAUAGAAGUCCUUUUCCACUGCACUUCGGAACUGAGCAACAUCUUGCUCGGACAACUUCUUUCUACACGCAAGAGCAGAGUCCUUCUCGUCUCUGAAGUUGAGUUUAUAAGGAGCACUAACAAGUCGGUCCCCAUUCAACACCUCACCAAGUGCUUCCCUUUUCUCUUUUAUUAUUGCAUCUGCCAUAAAAAAAUAAACCCGAAAAUCAUUCUAACACCUACAUAACGCAGUAUCGGAAUAAUUCCAUUGACCCUUCCCCGAGGUUUUACUAAUACACAAAAAUUAGAGCAAAAGGGGCAAGAGGAAGAACCUGGGGAGCAGAAUGGUAGAUCAAAAUAUCGAUAAGUUUCACUGAAAUCACAAAUUAUAAUAAACAAGAAUUAGAAUCAGAGCAUAGAAUUCUUGAGGGCGUGUUUGGCAGGAUUGAUGAUAAUCAACUGUAAACACCCGAAUGCAUGAAUCGCAUUUGCAUCCUUGGCAAAGAAGGAUCUCACGGAUCCAAUUCCAGAUCUUAAAACCAAAAGAACAAAAAAUGAUAAGAGUUACCUGGGGUUGUGGAAAGGGCCAACCUUAUUGGCGUAUAGAGGGACAGGGUCACCGACCUUGAAGCGGUGAUCGGAAGAAUCAGAUCUCACAUGGGUCAAGCAACAGGCGAUCAGAACCCCGACAACAAGAAGUGUGAUAGGGGAAUCGCUCAUUGUUUGACUAAUUUUCUGAGAACGUGAAGACAAGUGCAAGUUUCAAGUGACAAUGAACCAGACACAGGCCUCUUAGAGGGAGCUCGAGGUCGUGCAGGAUAUAUAUAUAUCUAUUAAGCGAGGCCCCGGAGAUCUGAGUAAUUUUUUUUUCUUCUUUUACUCUACUUUUCGUUUGACUUUCGUUGUUUCUUCUUCUUAUCAGUUCGUCUUUUGGGGUAAAAUAAAUUCAUCCCUUCAUUAAUGUUUGAUCCGGCUUGAUCUGGUUCGAUAGUUUAAGAACCGACUAGGUUUUUAUUUUUUUUAUUUUUUUUUAAUUCGGCUCGGUUUUGGACAAAUUGACAGUACCCGCAUGCCCGCAUCUAAUUUGACCAUACAAUUUUGCGAGUCCAUGUGAUCUUAUUAUCAUGACAUUGACGCCCCAAUUGUAGGGAGCUGGCUAAGUGCCUAAGUUACGGAUUCUGUAACUUACAGAUCCAGCUUUAGCCAACUCCCGUACACACCCAUUUGCUGGUUUUUCUCUCCCCCUCAAGACAUGUGUGCUCCUCUCAUUGGGUGUGUAUGUUACAGAUUCUGUAACAUAGCAACCUCCCAAUUGGAGAUGGGACGACAGAUCUACUCAACUUCAUAUUUAAAUUCAUAAUAAAAAUUUAAAUUUGUAGUUACUCCAUAUCCAUUGUAGAUUUAUAUUUUUCGCUCCAUAUUCAUAUCCGAAACUAAGGUGGCGUUUGUUUUUUAACUUAAUGACUUAAAGUGACUUAACUUAAUUAAUUAAGUUAAUUAGAGGUGUUUGUUUUUAUAACUUAAUGAGAAUUUUUAGAUAAUUUUGACUUAAUAAAAUAAGCUAAUUUUUUUGGCUACUUAUUUUCCGAGAUUCAGACGAAAAAACAAACAUAUUAUUCAGAUUCAGACAUUCAGACCUAUUCAGAAUUCAGACUAAUUCAGGUCUAUUCAGAUUUCAGACAAAAAAACAAACGGCACCUAAGUAUUUUUAUUUCGGAUCUAGAUAUGAAGCGAUUAAAUAAAUAAGUCAUUAACUAAGCACUAAGGUUGCGUUUGUUUUUUUAUCUAAAAUUUGAAUAAGUUUGAACGAGAAUAUCUUAAUGAUAUGUUUGUUUUUUCUUUUUUAACAUCUGAAGAGAAAAAUUUUAAAAUUAGUAGUUUGACAUAAAUAUCGUUUUAAGUGAUGUAAUAUUUGUUCUUAACAAUUUAUAAUUUUCACAGGUUGAUUAGUUUGAUAGAAUUAAAAAAAAUACUAUUAUUAUUGAUCUUAAUUUAAUUUUGUAAUAAAAGAUGUAAUUAUAACAUCAACUCUUAUUAUAAAGUCAACACUGUUGUUUUAUUUUUAUUCAUCAUAAUGGACAUAAUUUGAUUUGUUCAAUAUUUCAGUUUAGUUAAUGUUAUCAUGUGAAUAAAAAUUUAAAACAAUUAAAAAAAUAAUUUCAAGAAUAAUACAAAAAUAUUAGGUUUAUAUAUAAUAUUGGAAAAUACAUGAAUUGUUAAAGUAAUUUUUGAGAUUUGAAAUUAAGAACUGCAGUCAAAUUGCGGAUACUUUAGCUAAGUUUAAUUUGCACUUCAUUUUAGUAAUUCUUUUGUAUUAAUAGAAGAUGUCCCUCUGGAACUAUCUUGUUAUCUUUGAGUUUUUUGGAUCAUGAUUUUAUGAGAAUUUCUUUUUCCAAAAAAGGAAAAUAUUUAUGUGAAAUCUCAAAAUUAUGUAAUUUAUUAUUCGAGUUAUUGUAUUCAUUCAUCGUAAUAUAAAUUCCAAUUUAAGAAAAAAAAGUAAAGAAAAAGAAACAACCCUACAAUACCAUUUGGGGUCUGGUACAAAAAAUCUGGCACUUCUUUAAGCUUAAGUUUAAGAAGUUUAUAGCAACUAAUAAAGAGUGAAGAUAAGAGCAUAGUUUAACAUGGAUAACAACCGUAACGGACAGGGGGUGAGGAUAAGAGCACUAUCUAUUGCUGCAAGGCUUUGAUGUAGCUCUUAAGGAAAUUUUGAUGGCUAGUUAUGCCUUGUUUUGUUCUGAGAUAUUAUUACUUUUAAAAUACAAUUGAUGUGAAAAAAAUUAUAGUUAAAACGUAAAGGUUUAUAAUAUGUGAAAAUAUGUUAAUAAUUUUAAUUAAAAAUAAAAAUAUUAUAAAUUUUUCAUCACACAAUUAUAAAAUCAAAUCAAUCUAAUUUAUACAUCAUAAUAGUAAGUGUUUGCCUAAUUAUAAUUUAAAACUUAAAUUAUCCUAUCACACUAUCAAAUAGGGUCUAAAAAUACUUGAAAGAAAAUGAAUCGAAAGAUCGUACGGGCAAUUAUGGACCCAAAAGCAACUAAAUCCUUGGACAAUUUAUGCAAUUGCUCAAUGCCUCUCCUAAAAUUAAGGCUUUAUCAUACCUUUUCUACUUACAAAUUAUUUUAUAUUUAAUUUAUUAUUUAAAAUUGAAUUAUUAUAUUUGUAUCUCUUAAAAAUAAGGCCCCAUCUUUUGCUAUUUAUUUUUGUUUUCUAAAAAUAUAGAGGGAUAAAUAAAGUCCAAAUCAAUUUUUUUAUUCCCUACCAUCCUAGAAUUUGAACUUGGGUGGCCAAAGAAUUAGUUUAUAUUUAUUUUCUUGUUUAAAAACUUGAAUUUCAAUAUUUGCCUGUAGUUAACAAUUAAACUGGACUAAGAUUUAGUUAAGGAUUACUCUCUAUUUUGGAAGUGAAAUUUCCAUCACUAACCUCAAUUUUUGUUUCUUUCCUACUACAACACAUCCUCUUUAUUUUUUAUAAGGCAGAUCAGCAGCCCCUAAAAUAACACCUAUUUUUACACUUUUUUUGAGCUAUUAAAUAAACAUAAAUGAAUCGCUCCAAUUACAUUGAUCAAUUAGCUAAAAUUAUUAAUCUUACACAAUAAUUUCCAAGAUUUUUCUCUCUAGAUAUCCUCUUUCUUCAACGCUUUUACUCUUUUCUUUAUCCUCACUCCAGUGUUACGUGAAAAUACUAUUAUCGAAAUAAUAAUUUGUUAGCCACGUUAAAAUUCUUAUAUAAUGUGAGCACUGAAAAAUGAUUUUGCAACAUUAUUUUAUGCUCAACCAAUAAUAUAUCAAGGAAUAAAGUUUUUGAAUUGCUUAGUUGUUAUAAUUCAAAGCAUGAUUGAUAGUAAUUUGAAUGAUCUAAAAUUGGUUGAAAUUUUGGGUUAUUUGAACAAGAGUAACAAUAGAGUUAAAACUCCUUUAUGAACUUAUUCUGUACAAUUUGAUGCGACAUAAUUCAAUUUGUUAGUUAAAUAUCUCUUGACUUACAUAAUUUAUUUUUUAUUAAUUUGUAUGAUCAUCCAAGGAAUAAAUUUAUACCACAUCAGUUUGUAUAAAAUUAAUUUAUACAAGGGUCUAUAUAAUAGAGUUGCUAAUAUACCCUCAUUCUUUGUAAUCUCUCAAAAUUAAACAUAUUUGGACAUAACCCCAAGAAAAAGCAAAUCUUAAAAGAUAAUACAGUUGUAAAAAAAAAAAAAACCGUUAAGGAUUUUCUAUCUAAAAAACUUAAUCUUAAUACUUAUUUAUUACAAAAAUUCCCAUCAAUAUCAUUAAUUUUAAAUUAAAUAAAAAUGCCUACUUAAUUUAAUUGAGCCGGCGAGCCAGAAAUUUCAUUUAGAUAGGACCACCAAAUGCAUUUAUUUUAUAAUGUUGGCAUAAUUUGAAGAAUAUAUAUAAAUACAUUCUUUUCUUAUUUAAAGCAAUCCUGUACAAAAGUUGUAUUGAUUUUGUGGACCGACAUGAUAACUGGUCGCAUUUUUUUCUCAUAUUCUUUCGUGUAUCGUUGUUGACCGACUGUUCAUGAAGUGACUCGUGAGUAGGAUCUCCACUUCCACUGCAAAAUUUCCCUCUACGUCUCUGAGCCUUUCAAAUUUCUUAUUUAAGCAUAUAUUUCGACUUUUCUCUAUGUCGGUCCUUUUCGAGUUUCGCCAGUUUCUGUGAAAGGUUUGUUAAUGAAAUCAGUAAAUUGAUAAAUGUACCACCAAAAACAGCUAAUUACGUAAAUUUUAUGAUAUUAACUCCCCCAUUUUUCAGUAUCUUAAAAAAAUAAAAAAUAAAAAAUAGAAGGCCAACAUUUUUACCCCUACAUGAUUUUAAUUUUACCUUUUUUUAUAUAACUUUCAUGAUAAAUCAUCAAAUCAUUGAGAUUAAUUUUUUUAAAAAAAAUUAUUAAUUAUUUGUAAUUGGGAUAAGAGGAGGUUUUCAAUAAAAGUUUUUACAAAAGGGAUAACUGGAUAUUGUAAAAAGUAUAAAUCAUAAGUCACCUAUAGCAACCUGAAAACUGUAAGGGAAGAAGUCAUUUUCCGAAAAUAAGAAUUUUAAUAGUAAUUUUAGCAAAAUAAAGAAUAAAACAGUAAGAUUAAAAAAAAGGAACUCUAAGAUUGAAACAAUUUUUUAGUAUGAAAAUCACCUAACCUUGUAAAUGCAAAAAAAAAAAAAAAAUCUCUUCCAUUAUGAUUAUAAAUUGUAUUAUCAUAAAAUCAGUGCAUAAAAAUGGUAAUUAAAAUGCUUUUGCUAAGAUGAAUUUUGAUUCUGGUGGAGGUCAUUAAGGCCCAAAGAAUGAACGAGAUAACAUAAAUCCAGCUUCUAUGUAAUUAACUAAUAUGCUUACUUAUGUUAUUUGAAGAAUCAUUUAAUAAUAAAUAGGUAAAAACCAACAACAUAGAAAGCUGACGAAACGAAAACGUAAAUGAAACACAAGUUUAUGAAAAACAAACUUUUAUUGAAUAAAUCUCAAUUGGCAAAAUUAGGGUUUUGGACAUCUUAUAUAAUAACCCUAAAUAUUAAGAAUUUACCAAAAUACGUAAAUCUAAAAUAUUAUUUUAUAAUAAAAUUCUCCUAAUCUAAAUAAGAAAAGGAAAAUAAACGGUAUUCAAAUUUGAAUUCUAGAAAAAAAAAUUCCUAAGAGAAUCAAGAAAAAUAGAAAAAAAAUCUUAAAACUGAGAACGACUAAGAAAGAAGCGGAAUUUCUAGCUCGACCACGCGGUAAAAUGGCACAAGCAUUAUGAGUUUGGUUUGUUUGACCGCAAACUUCAAAAUGGUAUAUAAUACGCAGAAAACGAAUACUUAUAACUUAAGGUAUGCCCUAAAAAGGAUACCCCGCUCAUACUACACAACCAUCCUACAUCAAACAGUAGGGAUAUGUACAAGAAAAAGAGAAAACAUAAUACUUCAAGGGUCUAAAUGUAAAAAUUCUUAGUACUUGUUUUCCUGAUAUAAAUAAAGAGCAUUAGAAGAGUCAUCGUGUUGAAAGUAAAGCGCCCAGCGUGGAAUCAUUGUGGUAAUUUAGCUAGGCAAAUACUGGAUAGGAGGAAAAUGAGGACGGCCAUUCCAGAAGAACCCUUGGGCUCAACAGGGAAAUCGAUUCCUCUUGUAGGCUUUGGAACCGUUGAAUAUCCAUUGAAUGAAGCCUUUAAAGAACGCGUUCUGCAUGCAAUUAAGCUGGGGUAUAGACACUUUGAUACUGCUGCAGCUUACCCAUCCGAGCAACCUCUUGGCGAAGCAUUAACUGAAGCUUUACGUCUUGGCCUCGUUCAAUCCGGCGACGAGCUUUUCAUCACCUCAAAACUCUGGCUCACCGACUCCUAUCGCGGCCGUGUCAUCCCGGGCCUACAAAAAACUCUCAAGUAAUUUUAGGACAGCCGUAACUUAAAAAUUAUAAUACUAGGUUCGAUAAGCGCUAGCUAUUAUGGUUUUAAAAUUAAAUUAUGUGAUCCACUACUUCCAUGAUGAAAAAAUUAUAAUAUUAUUACUAUUUUUGUUAAAAUUAUUAUUUAAAAAUCAUAUUUACUAUAUAUUAUUAAUCUUUAUUUUAUAACUAUAACUUCUUCUUUUUCAUUAUUACUGUAAUUUAAAAACUACAGUAUCUUAAUAUCAAACAAACUUUAAUCUAAUGAGCAUGCCUAACUUUUGUGACUUUCUUAAUAAAUUUUAUUUAUUUGUUCAUUUUUUUCCCUCUUUGUGUAGGACUCUUGGAUUGGAGUACCUUGAUCUCUAUCUAGUUCAUUUUCCGGUAAGCUUGAUUCUAGAGGCGACGUGUCCUGUGAAACCGGAGGAUAUUCGUUCAUUUGACUAUGAGGGUGUUUGGGAGGAAAUGGAGAAAUGUCAAGAGCUAGGUCCUACAAAAAAAAAAGGAGUAAGUAACUUUACAUGCAAGAAACUUGAGAGGUUACUUGCUACAAUGCUACUGCAAAAAUUCAUCCUGCUGUCAAUCAGGUGAGUUAAUGAAAUUAAAAUAUUGGGACGAAAUAUUGUUUUAUGCCUCUAUAUAUAAAAUGCAUUUUGUUUGGUAAGCUGGAGAUGAAUCCGAUUUGGCAGCAAAAGAAGCUGCGAGAGUAUUGUAAGGAGAAGGGGAUUCAUUUUUCAGCUUUCUCACCAUUGGGAGCCGUAGGGACUAACUGGGGACACAAUCGAGUUAUGGAAAAUGAGGUGCUCAAACAGAUCGCAGAAGCUAAAGGAAAGACUGUUGCUCAGUUAAUUCAUAAUUAAUUUUUCCUUUCAACUUGAGAAUUAAAAUACAACAACGAAACCUAUCAAUCACUUUCAUCUGCAGUGUUAAAUUGAAUGCUAACAGUAUUUAUUUUGUUUCAAAAAAGUUUUUAUAUUUGAGAAAUAAUUCUUUUUAGAGGCUUAAUUAGAAGUUGAAGAAAUGUAAAAGAUUAUUCCGUUCAUUGCUGCUCAGUAAAUUCAAUAAAAAUGAAAGUAGGCAAAAUUGUAUUAUUAUAUGAACCCAUAUAUGUAUCUGUAAAAUCUCAUAAGUUCAAACAAGAGAGUUAGGAUUUGAACUCUACUCAGAUGGGUGGGAAAAGAGUUUAAUUACCAAUAUACUAUUCAUAAAUAAUGGUAAUAAUAAGAAGCUAUGUUUUAAAGUUGUAUGACAUAUCUAAUUGCAAGUUAUGAAAUUUUAUUAUUGAAUAGAUGAAUGAACAUCAUACAUUAAUUGAGAUGAUUUCUUGUAAUAAAAGCGACAGAACAAUACAAACAUCCUAUAUAUAUAGAGAGAGUCAUUCUCUAGUGUGGGUGCUUACUUGUUUUAGAAUACAUGCAGAUUUGAAAUUUCACAAUAGUGUCAACAUGCCUGAGAAUAAUUACAUAUUUUCUCAUAAAUAGUUGAUUUUUUUUUCCUCUUUUUAUUUUUUCUGGUGCAUGUAAAGGUGCUAUUAGGUGGUUUUACCAGCAAAGGGUGAGUGUCAUUGUGAAGAGCUUUAAUAAAGAACGAAUGGAACAAACCUUGACAUAUUUGACUGGGAGCUAAGUGCGGAAGAGCUUCAAAAGACAGAACAAAUUCUGCAGUGCAGAGGAAGCCGUGCUGAGGCGUACCUAUCAGAGAAUGGUCCUUUCAGAACUGUGGAGGAAAUAUGGGAUGGAGAAAUUUAAUAUAAUAGUAUGCCUUUGUUUUUCUAUUCUGUAAUGCCUAUUCUAUUUACAUUAUGUAAUUCUUGUUUCUAAAAUAACUCUUCACAUUUUAGGCUUUUCUUUUUGGUGUGUGUCUAUGGUUGGGGGUGCCGGGGGGAUUCAGCCUUGAGCUUGAGAAAAAUAAAGUUACAGAAGUACACCAAAUAUUCUUAAUUCUAGUUUCUUGUGCAUCACAACACCAGUAGCAAACAUGAUAGAUUUAGCACCCUUGCAAUCAACAAGUUCUUUUGCAUGAGUACACAAGGAAGUAAGAAACAUACAGACACAUGAAGGAUUUCUGAUUAAACAAAUGACUUUAAGAAUAAUAAUAAUAAUAAUCACAUCGUAGUUGGACAGAACACGAAACAACAUCAGCAUCUCCCAAACUGUUUUAACACACCUUUCACUCAAUAAAUUAAACAUAAAAUAAUAGUAAUCACAAACUUAGCUGAAAUAUCAGCAAUACCAGCUACAGUUUGUUUACAAGAACAAAGUACAACAAGGAAACAUUGACAGAUUUCUGUAAAAUUUUGCACACUACAAAUGAAGAUACGCAAUAAAUAAAAACAACUGCAAAGAACAGAAAAUUAAUUUUCAUUUAUCAAACAGAGCAUAGCAGAAAGUAUCAAGAACUAAAAUAAAGCAUUACCCACACUGCAAACCUACUCGUUUGAUGCACAUUGUCCAUGUACUUGUGUUGGAAACCCUACGAGCCAACAGUAUUACAAAUACAAAUUAAAUUGCAUGUAGAUGAUACCAAAUGCUCAAUCUAAAAGAACCCCCCGCCCCUCCUUCCAAAUUACUCAAACCAAUAGUCUAAACUUAGCCUAACAAACUUUACUUAAAUAUCUCGUCCAAUUCGCAGCUGCACAAUAAAGUGGUUACACGUCACCAGACAAAUAACCUUGCUUUCAUGCAUACCCACAACCAGGAGAAGGCCAUUCCUUACAAGUCUGUGGGCUUCUUGAAAAGAACAUUCCAGUGUCACUAAAAUCAUAGUAUAAGUGGAAUGCAAAACGCCAAACAAGUGGAAUGCAAAACGCCAAACACAUUACAAAAGAAGGAUAAUGAGCCUCUCAUCUGAGCUCUCAUGAGCUUUUAAAGAUCUUAUACCAUGUGUUUUUAAGUGAUAGUGCAUGAGUAGAAUUUAACUUUUUUAUUUUCUUUAUUUAUUAUUAAUUACCAAUCACUUAUAUGUAUUUUUGCUUAUGAGAAUAUCAAAUCAUGAGAGAAUCCUAAUCCACAAAAGAAAUAUCUGCAGAACCAAACGCACUUAAACUAUUGUUUUAAUAUAUUUAUUAUUUAAAAUGAAAAAUUAUAAGUUUAUUUAUGUAUUUUUGAAAAUCACGAAACUACCUUCCCAUUAGUAUAAUAUUUUUGUUUCUUAACUUCUUCUGUCCAAGGGCGUAAACCGAAAACUUUUGUUACGAGGGCAACAUGAAUAAUGUACAAUAGUUAAGUUAAGAUUUCAAAGAGUGAAACGAUAACAAAUUUAGAGGCGAGCUAUUAAAGCUAGCUUUUGAAUUGAAUAUCGAAUUAGAGAAGAAAAUUAUGAUUGUUUUACCACCUAUUAAAAAAAAAAGUUAUAAUGAAUACGUAGGAGUUUUGGUAUUGUGAAUGGUUAGACCAUUUACCUUAAAUAUUAAUAAUUACUUCAGAGAUAUUUUCAAUUUCAAUUGUAAUUUAAUGCAUAACAUGAAUACUGGAAAAAAUAAAAUUCUGAAAAUUUUCCAAGGUCGUGUAUCAUGUCCGUUACGCUCUGCCGACAGCCGCUCAGCCAUCUUUUUUAAUUAGCACGAAUCAUUUUUUCAUCUAUUUGUCUUUUCUUUCUUUUUCUUUUUCUUUUCUUUUUUUUCCUAAAAGCAAUGACCGAUAAUGAGAGGAAAGCAUGCUGCAACAUGCAAAUAUUGUGUACCAGAAUUCAUAAUUUAAUUUUCCCUUUAACCAGUUUUAAUGUGCAGGAACUUUACUCUGUCACAUUGGGACAGAUCAAUUUUGAUUUAGAUGUCCAACUUUCAAUCAUCUUUUUUAAUUGUAUUUUUCAAAAGGUAAGAGAGUGGAUCACAAACUGAUUUUUUUGUCCGCUACUUCCUCAAGAUUCAGAUAUAGUGAUCAUCAAAUAAAACUGUUUGAAGCCACUCAUCUAAUUCCGCAGAGCCCCAGCUUUCAGUAUAUAUCUUCACUUCUUUUUUAUUUUUCUUAUUUCGUCAUCCGGCUAAUCUUUGAGAAUUGGCUAACUCAAAAGGCUAAGGGAAAGAAAAUGACAUAAGGCAGUUCCAUCAAUUUCAGUUGUUUGUGGCUAAUUGCUCAACUUCAAUGGAGCAAUAUUAGGCAUAGGUAAUUAAGUUGUAUUAAAUAUUGAAUAUAGAAAAUUUUGUUGGGCAUAAGACAAAUGAAAAACAUUUGCUCUUGCUCUGUUCGGGUCCAACUACUUUACAUCAUGGGUUUGGUACCCUAAUCGUUUGUCUAUUAGUGAAUGACCCUUUAGAUUGUGAACAAAGGUAGUUAUCGGCUAAGAUUUAAUAGUUGGAAAAUGGGUAACCAGCUGAAGCUGUAGUACCGAUGAAACAAAAACAAAAAAGAUAAUCCAGAUCUAAAUUCACAGCUCUCUCUCUCUCUCUCUCUCUCUCUCCGUGAAUAAUCUUCUUCUUCAUCCACAAUUGGCUUUCACAACUCUCUCUCUCUCUUCGUAAUACUCUUGUUCUUUAACCACAAUUGACCAUCACAGCUCUCUCUCCAUCACAGUUAUUCAAGCAAAAUGGGCUACUGUGUUGAGAGAGAAAGUUGCUACUGCAUCUCAAAUUUGUGUGAUGUUGCUGUCGUAAUUGAGGAUCGAUUGCUGCGUUGAGAGAGAAAGCUGUUGCCACUGCGUCUCGGCUCUAUGUAGUGGUGUUGCGUCUCUGCUCUGAUUCGGUUGGUGAUGCUGCUACUACUGCUGCUGCGUCUAUUUCGGUAAAUUUUGUUGCGUCUAUUUUGUUCAUAUGAAUGUUAAUUGAUUUUGUUUUUCUGGGUUUUUUUCAUAUGAUUUUAAUUGAUUUUUUGUUUCUAUGUUUUGUUCAUAUGAUUUUUAAUUGAUUUUUUUUAUUCUUUCCUUUAUUUGUUAUGAUUUCGUUUCUCUUUGGGAUAAAUUUAGGAAGUAUGAGUCUAAUUUUUAUUGAAUGUAUGAUAUGUGAAGGCCCUACCUACAGUUAUUUUGGGCUAAUGUGUCAGCUACAGGCUCUGUGGAGAGUAAGGUAGAAUAGUUUAUGAGUAAAUUGAAAGGAUGGUCGUAUAGAUGGUUAAGGCUGAAAUUGCAUAAAAGUUCUCCUCAGCUUUUUUUUUUGAAAAGAAAGUACUCCUUUCAUUGCCUCAAGAAGAGAACAAAUACAAGAUUUCAACUGAAAAUUCAUCCAGCCAUAUACAUGAUUCCGACUUCCUAAGAGCUAACUUAGCUAGGUCAUGAGCUAAAUUAUUACAAGUCCUCCCUACAUGCUGAGCUUUGAAAUUCUGGAAGCUCUUCUUAGCUUCUAGAAUGUCGAAGAUCACCCAAAAAAGCUCUGUUAAGGUGCUUUGCUUGCUGUUUAUUAGCUCUAUCACCCUCUUCGAGUCAGAUUCUAAAAUGAUUGAAGAUGCCCCCGCCUUAAUAGCUGCUUGAAUUCCCCACAGAGCAGCCUUUGCUUCAUACAUCUCCACAUCUCCAAAGCUUUUGACAGUGUUUACUGCUGCAGCAACCACUUCACCUCUGUAAUUCCUGAUCACAGCCCCCAAACCAGCAAGAUUAUUUUGCUCAUCCAUUGUGGCAUCCACGUUAACUUUGACCCAAUCUUCCCUAGGAGGACUCCACUGGUUUUGCUGCAUGCUUGUCAAUUCCAGUGAGAAAUUGUGCUCUGGUUGCUUUAUUCGUUUGACAGAAUCAGCUAUAGACAUUGCUUUGGCUAUCAGUCGUGAUGGAUCUUCACACUUCCCCUUAAACAGCCAGUUGUUCCGAGCAUAGCAUUCCAAAUGAGGGAGGAGUAUCUCCACACUUUCCUCGCAAAUUUACAGAACAAUAAGGCAUGAGCUGUGCUCUCUAUCUCAUUCUUGCAGAUUGGACAAGUUGCCUCUUGCAUCACUCUUUUCUUCCUUAAAUUUUCUGCUGUGGGAAGAAGAUUCUUUGCCGCUCUCCAAAGGAAGAUCUUUACUUUUUCGGGGACCAUCAACUUCCAAAUGAUAUUCCAUUGACUGGAGUUUUGAUUUGAGCAGCUGGGAAUGUCCUUGUGCUUUUGCUUUAAAGCUAGCUGGUAGCCACUUCUAACUAAAUAGUUCUCCUCAGCUUUUACCCAACAAGUAAGUGUGAUAUUUUUGAAACCAAGGUUAAACACAAGAGUUAGGAUUAUGGUAUUGCAUGUUCUUUCUGGAACUUUAAUUGCUUAGGAUUAUGGUAUUGCAUGUUCUUUCUGGAACUUUAAUUGCUAUCUCCAUUAUGGUUCUCUUAUAUCUUUUUGUUUACAUCAAAGAAAGAUGGGUUAUGGAAUAGGGACUUUCAGGUUUUUCUGUGAACUUCCCUUGUGUUCACUUGUUUAUGCUUCACUCUAUGCUUUCAUUAUUUCCUCAUUUUAUUUUUCCACUUUCAAUAUCAUUGGUUCAUCAUAGUUUCAAGGAUUUUGCAAUGAAAUUUGCUUAUUGAUGUAUUCGGAACCUUUUCUUUUUAUGUAUUUCUUAUUGCCAACUUCUAUGCUCUCAUUCGAUAUAAUGAUGUUGACUGCAAAGCAUAAACGGGUGAAGAAAAUAUUUGUUGUGAUGCAUGAGGAGCUAAAGGUGAUUCAUUAAAAUACUCUCAACCUUGAACCACAUUCAAUUUCGAUUUUCCAGUCUGAUUUAUAUGUGCAUAUUCUUAUAUUGUAGCAUCUUAGGCGGAGGAUAAAAGACUUUGCAUCUACAUACAUGAAGAAUUGAAGAUUAAUAACUAUACUACUAUUCUUGUGAUGGGCUUGCUACACAGCAGGGGGCAAAAUGUCUAAAAGCAAACAGCGGGGGGCAAAAAGUUUAAGUGGCUUUGCUCUCACUCCUGUAAAAUUAUGGAAGUAUUUCAGAUAUUUUCAAUACAUCAAAAGAUAAUGUUAAAAGAUUUGGGAAUUAGAUAAAAAGGCAAGAAUGUAGCACUAAUGCAGAUUAUUGAGAAAUGAUUCAAUUUUUGGGGGUUUAAUUGAAUCAUUAACCUUCUUGACAUUCCUCAGUUACAUUCCUCAGUUAAGCAUGAUAUAAGUAGUCAAUUUUACAACGCAGAUGAACUCAAAAAUUGGCUAAUCAAAUAUGAACUUCCUCGUCAGUAGUGAAUUUUGCUCGUGGAAGGGUAAAAAAGUAUCAAGAGUACGCAGCCAUGCAGGGCGAGGAUUUGAUGUUUUGAGAGCUGUUAAAGUGUCGUCUCCCUCUCAGCAAACUCUAACAGUAAUUUUUAAUAAAUAUAUAUUUUAUUUAAAUCAUGUGCUGUAAUAUAUAUUUUAAUUAUAGGGUAAAAUAAUGAAAAUGUGAAACUUUCUUUUUUAAUUAAUGUUAAUACCAAAAUAUUUAUGGUAUGUUUGUGUAUGUAUUAGUUAAAACAAUUACUUUGUAGGUAUAAGUAUGACUUAAAUAUUUAUGCAUAAGUUAGAUAUUAUUUAAUUGUUUCUCAGAUUUUCAUUUUAAAUUAUUUGCAUCUAUUUAAGUGAUAAUCCUAUUUUGCACAAAAUGAAUUAUAGAGUAAACUAAGUAUAAAUUUAUGGAAUAUUUUUUGGGUUAUUGUUUAAAAAUAGGAAUAAAAUAAGCUACCGUUUAAAAUACAAGAAUGAAAUGAGUUUUUGUAUCAAAUCUCAUGGGUGAAAACAAACUUUUCCCUUAAUUUUCCGGCUUUUAUUGAGGCAAUGUAUUACCUGAUCAUUUGCAAAAAUUUUGGACACUAUUUUGGGAAAUUUCAUGUUAUUCUUAGCCUAACUCAUACUUGCAGGCUUCAACAAGUUGUAUUAAACCAUUAGUUGCAUACACCCGUUCACUGUUUGUUAAAAUGCAUUAAAUGUGUUCUUUUAUCAGCAGGUGACCGGCUCAUAGCCUUUUCCUUAAGUUUCUCACAUUUGUCUCUGUGUCUCAUCUACAGCCGUCAGAUCAAAUCCAAUGCUCACUUUACUAAGAGACAAAUGACUGGGGUACCAGAGGCACGACGCAAUGUAGUUAUGCCCUGUGUUUAUAUAUAUUGCAUAUUCUUUAGAAUUAUUUUGUUAUUAAGUUAUCUCUAGUUCAUCAAAUUUAUGUAGCAAGUCAAAUGUUUUUUAAUUGUUCCCAAAUUUUUUUUGCUUUAAAAUGGUUUCCAUUUAUUCAACUGAUCUUCCUAUUAUGGACAACAUGAACUAUUGGGUAAACUUACUGUAAAUUCAUGGAAGAAUCUGUUUUAGUUAUUAUUUGAAACAUAGCAUUGAAAUGAAGUAUUGUGUAAAAUACAAGGAUGAAUUAACGUAUCCAACCUUCAUAGUGACAAGGAUUUAUUUUCCCUUAUUUUUCAAUCAAUUAUUUAGGGAACGCCUUGCCUGAUUUUGUAAUAAUGAUAUUUCAGACACUAUCUUCGAAACUUUUACAUGGAUCUUACCCCAACCGGUACUUCCACACUUCCAACAAGACGUUUUCAACCAUUAGUUGCAUACGCCAAUUUGUUGUUCCUUUAAAUGCGUUGGUUGUUACAUGUGUUCUUUUAUCAAACACUUGUUUCCCUACAGGUGACUACCGCAUUACCAUUUCAUCAGGUUACUCCCAAUUGUCUCUAUGUUCCUUCUGUGGCAGUCAAAUCAAAUCGAUCGAUCGCUUUACUAAAAAAUCUCUAACAUACAAUAAAAAUUACAACUCGUACAAUCUGAUUAAAACACAAAAGAGUUCACAUAGCUUGUACACAUCCUUUCCUCCAUCUAUUUUUCCCCUUGCUAAAUGUUUUUUCGUCCAUAUAGCUAGAUGACAGCUAAGUGUGGUUUGUAACUACUGAUGCAACAUAGAUGCAGCCUGUUCUUGAACACCUUUUCCUAGUUUCAAAUAGAAGUGAGAGAGAGUUGAUGCUGAAAAGACCGCCAGACUUAUAUUUUUCCAUGAGAAUUAUGUGUUAUGUGGAACUAAUUUUAAUUUGCUUUCGUGAUCUUGUUACAAUGUUAGCUCUUUGCUCAUGAAUUGAUUAAUACGUGUAUUUUUUUUACUCAAAAGCCUUCAUCUUUAUUACCUUGGAUCAUAAUUUUCCUCUGCUUUUUCUCCGCGUCAUCCUCUAUUACCUAGUAUCUCUCCUCUAGGAUGAGCAAUAAUACCCAUAUGAAAAUUCAUUGAUUUGUCAGUGUUUGAUUUAUGACAAGCGGAUUUCUAAUCCUACAACUUUUUUGGGCCAAAUGAGAAUUAAUAUGGUAUUAACUUCUGUAUCUUGACUGGUAGUGUUUUAAGAAGUAGCAUUUGCUCAUGAUUUGACUUAACAAAACAAUAUCCAGUGCGCUUGUAUUAACCCUGCUGCGUUUUUUCUCAAUAUCCGUUUCUAUUAUUUAUUAAAGACUUUUGUGAAUAUCCAAAUUUAAUAUGAGAAAACAGAUCCUCUAGCUAGUCGGCUUAACACAGAUCGAAUAUUAAUAAUAAAAAUGAUAUUACUUUUUAAGCUUUUAUGUCAAAUUACGCAUGCAAAAUAAUAAGAAUUUUUUUUCCCAUACGCGUAUGUAUUUUGGAGGAGACACGUCCUCGAGUUCAUCUCUAAAAUCGAAAUGUGGUAUGGAAAGUGUAUACAAGUAUUUGCCCAUAUCACAGCCACAUAAACGGCGCAGUCUCAUUCUAUCAUUUUUUUGCCCUCUUCUCAAAUUUUUUUGAUAAUAAUUUUUUAUAUCACUCUUUAAUUCACCAUACUCUGUUUUAGUUAAUUCUAUUUAUUUCUCAAAUUACUUUCAUUAAAAAUUGUUUAUCUCUAUUGUUUCUCAGUUGCUCUUCUCAAUAUAUUUGAAGACUAUUGGUAUGCUUACUAACCCGCAAUCGGAAUGAGAAUUCUAGGAUUGGAAUGGAUAAUGCAUUUACUUGUAAAAUUAAGACUUGAAAUCAGAAUCAAAAUAGUGUUAAAUCCACAAAUUUGAGAAUCACUAUCAUAGUUCUGAUCCCCAAGCGAGGAGUUUGGAAUCAGAAUUCGAUUUUUAUAACUACCCAUUUUACUCUCGUUAAAUUUUCAUAAUCUCUAAAUUGCUCCCAAUUAUGUUCUGUUAUUUUUUCUUUUUGGUUCCCAUAAAAUUUAUCAAAAAACUCAAAAUUUUGAAUUAUUUGCAAAUAGGUCCUUAAUUGUUUAUAAUAAUAAUAAUAAUAAUGACAAUAAUAAUAGUAACCAAAUCCUCCCAGGAUCCUCCACCAAGAUUAAUCAAGAUGCAUUCAACAAAUAAGAUCAGGUUUAAAGAAUCAAUUAAACCUAACUAGACUUGAUACAAAAGAUUAUUCACCAACACAGAAAACAAGCAAUAAGAAGAAACCAAUAACAAUGAACAGAACGCAGAGCUCUUAACGUGGUUCAGCCAUUAAUGGCUUACAUCCACGGGUGAAUUCAUCAGCAGGCUUUAUUGAAGGAUUCAAGAAGCUUAUUACAGAGACUUUGAGAACAAAGAACAAGUAUUCACUUUCUCUCAGAAUUCUCUCAAUCUCUCACUCACGUUACCCCUCAUCCCUGAAGGCCAGCAGCUUAUAAACCAGUUUCUUUAACAGUUUAGCAACCCAGAACGCACAGCUUUUCGACACGUGUGUGUUGAGUCUGUUUAUAACGAACUUGGCUUCAAUCGAUGGUCACGUGAUUGCUCCGUGAUCUAACAAAAACCAAGUGUUAUCAAAACGAUCACACACGAUGCCGUUUCGGUUCAAUGACGAGCCGUGCUUGUCAUGUGAGUUACUUAAGGCUUGAAACAACUGAAAAACGCUGCCGUUUGCUGAGAGGUGUUUGUAUUCACCUUACAGCCAACAAAUUUUUUGUUAGGUUUGUUUUCGGUGUGAUUUUUUUAGAUUUAGGGUUUUACUGGGGAUUUUAUGAAAUGGGUAUGUGAUAAAAUUUUAGGUUUUUCUUAGUUCAAUUUAACAAUCUGUUCAGAUUCAUCCAUCGUGCUUCAGCUGCUGACCCUACAUAUUUGAGGAUAAAUUUAUCUUCUGCCUGUUUUUUUAUAGAAUUAGAAUUCGUCUGUUCUUUUUUUUAAAUUAUGAUAUGUUUGUUAACCAUGCGAGUCUGUGUAAACCAUUCAUUGAAAAAAGAAAUGUAACUUAAGAUGAUGACUUAAAUUUUCAUCCGUUUCAUUUCAUUCAAUCUAAAAGUGUAUAUUUUUUUGUCAAAAAGCUGCAAUGAGUCACCUUUAUUCUUCUAUUAUUGAAAUGAAUAGAUCAACCGAAUGAAGUUUAAUUAAAAUAUUGAAUAGAUUAAAUGGAUGAAAAUUGAAGUAAAAUGUUGAAGUUAAGGAGCCCUAAAAUUUAUAGAAGAAACUCGAUAAGAGUAACGACCGUUGAAAAUACGUUGUCCUUUAUUGUAAUAAUUUAAGGAUUUUGAUAUUAGAAAAUUGCUUUAUAUAUAUAUGUGUGUGUUGAAAAUAUAUUAUUCCUUACUUUAACAACUUAAGAGAAUUUUUAGAAAAUUAUACACACACACCCCCCUUCUAAUAAAAUAAUUACUUAAUUUCAUGUAAAGUAAAGGACAAUUUAAAAGUAAAAAACACAUAUUUUAAUAUACCAAAAAAUAAAAUACACUAUUUUGAAGUAUGUUUUGUAAACUUUCAAUUUGUCUUUUACUUGAUUGACGUAAGUGAUGCCUUAGUGUAAAAUUACUUCAUAUAUAAUAUAUAAUACACUACAUUAGAGUGUGUAUUUUAAUUCUCUUUUAGUUUAUCCCUUAUCUUAAUGAUUUAAGAGAUCGUUUACUAGAUAAUUACUCGUAUAUUUUAUUUUGACUUAAAUUUUUUACAUAAAUAUUGAGUUAUUGGUUUUGCAAAAUUUAAUCAUAGAUAAAUUGGUAUAAUUAGUGGUAGUUUAUAUGUGUGUGUAGUUCUUUUCUAAUGCGGGUGUCUUUAUUUUUUUCACCUAGAUAUAUUUUUAAAUCAUAGGAUUUAAAAGAAUUAAUUUUUAAUUCUUUUAAAUCAUAUAGUUUAAGAGCGUGUCCACAUUAUAAAAAAAAAUAUAAAUGCCGGCACUUGAAAAUAAUUAUAUAGAGGAGUACGCGUGGAGUGGAAGGAUAUAAUUAUCAUAUCCUGAUUGAACAAAACACCAGGCUAGCUCGAUUCUUUCUGCUAAAACUAAAUAAUUAAUUAAUCAUGUUUCAUUUUUAUUAUGAUAAUUCCCAGUUUAUAAUCAUGCCGUUAAAUAAGAAAUUUACAUUAUAUGGCGGGGCCUCAUAACAAAAAAAAAAAACUUUAUUUUAACUAGUGGAAAAGAACAAUAUAUUUAAAUUGGUCUUGGAGAAUGGCAGGUGAUUGAUCCCCAAUUAAAUUUGCACGAAUAAUUAAUCCAAAAACAUGUGACACUUGCUCAAUUAUUGUAUUAUGUGUCCUACGCUAUAAUUAAAGAAAAUGAAAUCCGUGACAAUGUAUAUGUAAUCAAGUAGCUGGUCCAAGAACCGCUAGAGCCACUCACUCCUUCACACAUUUGUGAAGUGGUUCGAGCCCCCGCAGACGUAUUGUAGGGAGCUUAAUUUAAAUUUUUUUUUUUGAGUCCCAGAACUUAAGUGAAUGUAGUCUUUCUCUUAGGAGGAGAGUUGACGUUCCUCAAAUAUUUGAGAAGGUUAAAAAUCUAAGCGGUGCCAUAUCAAAAUUGAUAUAACAAAAUUAAUAUAAACAGAUCUCAGUAUUUAUAUGAUUGUAAAUAUCAUGAGUAAUGAUUCUCAUUUAAAAAAAAAGUAAUUGGUCCAUGGCGUAUUAAAAAAAAAGGGGGGUAGUUGGUCCAAGGGCAAGUUGUGAAUUAUUCCAAUAAAAAAAGUUAGUUCUCAUUCAAAACAAAAGUGGGGGUACUUGGUCCAAGGCGUAUUUAAAAAAAAAGUGGGGGUAGUUGGUCCAAGGGCAAGUUGUGAAUUAUUCCAAUAAAAAAAGUUGGAUUGUGACAGACACUACAUAUACUAAGAGGAUGGAUUAGGCCUUUUAACUGUUAUAAAAUUAUUUGAUUGUUAAUGACGUUUAUUAUUUAAAAUUAUAAAAUUAUUUUAAUAGAUAAGUAUAUUAAAAAUAUAUUAUUAAAGGAAUGAAAUAAAUAAGAGUAUUUUAAAAAAAAUUAUUUUUAAAAAAAAUCGACAACCUUAAUGGCCUAAAAACUUAAACUUUUGUUAAUAAAAGUAAAAUAAUUUAUUUAAUCUCUAAAAGUUCAACUCAAAAUACAACCAAACAGCACAAAAAAUUUUAAAAAGAGCUUUAAAAACGAAAUAAAUAUUUUUAGACAUUAGAUAAGCUAUAUUAAACAUGCACUUAUUACAUAUAUAGAUGGAUUAUAAUUUAAUAUCUACUCCCAUAAUUAUUAGGGUUAAAUCUUCUCUUAUACUAGGAACAUUACCCACCCCUUGGUGACUUGGAACUCAUAUCCUAAAUGUUGAGGGCAUGAGUUCUCACCUAUACCCUUAGAGGGAAGUCACCAUAAAUAUCUGUUUGCGGAGGAGCAAUAUUCACCAUACAAAGCCUCUAGUUGGACAAGCCCUCUUCUUUUAAUUUUUUUUCCUUUUUUUGAAUAUAUAUAUACAUACACGCACACACACAAAAAUCACAAUUGAAGCGCCAUAGAUAUAAUUAGGAGAACUUGCAACAAGAAGCUGCCGGCAUCUCCCACACAAGCUUGAAAAAGUAGCCAGUAAGAGUUGUGCACGGGGGAAAAAAAAAUGGGAAAUAAUAAUGUGAUGGGAUUGGCAGGUGGUGUCUUAGCAGCGAUCAUAGUUAUGAUGAUACUCUUCUUCACCGCGGAUCAAUCUUGUGCAGCAGGCAACGGCACCGCCAUUACUAAUUUCCAUAUUGAUCCUGAUGUGUUGUUCUUUUAUGAUGAUCCGGAAUCGGAAUUGGCUGCUGCUGCUGCAACAAACGUAUUGAAUUUGAAUCCCUUGAAGCGACGUCCAGUGUUCGAUUGCGGAAAAGGCCGAGGCCGAAGCUAUCGCUCUUGUACCCCUCCUCCCCAGGGUUCCAAAAGGGGUGAACAUUGCAAACCUGCACCCGGCGGCACGUACAAUCGAGGGUGCAAUUAUUAAGCCUUAAGUUUGUACUGCUGCAUCCAUGCAUAUGCAUUAAUAAAUAAAUUAAUUGAAACUUCUAAUUUGAUUAGCACUACUUAAUUCGUUGUUAAAUUAGCUAAGGUUACUCCAUCUUGAUGCUAUCGUUCAUGUUCACUCAUUUCAAUUCUACCAUACUGGUCUUGAAUUUAUUACUUUUCCAUGUGCGUGCGUGUUAACAGCCUGGAGAAGUAAUUAAUUAAUUGGUUAACCAUUGAUGGCAUUUUACAUCGAGCUGGACCAACUCUUAAUUACCGGCCUCUUGAAGGGAAACCCACUACGAUACAAAUCAAACAACUGAACGUACAACUUCAUUACAUUUCCUGCAAUAAUGCAUUAGAUUUCCUACAAUAAUGCUAACAUUCAAUGAUUUAUCUGCUCCCUCCGACCAUGCCUUAAUUAAUUGUUACCACGACAUCAUCCCGAAUGUGGUAAUUACGUACAAUUAUAUAUGUUAGCUAUUUUUCUUUUUAAUAAAUAAUUUUACAGACACAGAUACAAUUAGCGUGGCAUAUGGGAGGAUGUUAGUUGAAACUUGGAAGCGAUAUCAGUUAAGCCAUCAUGCAUUUGUCCAACUUCUAUCUUCACGAUUAUGAAACCUAUUGUUUCUUUUCCAUUCACUUCUUGUGAUAUAUUGUCUGCCCCACGUUUUAGCCUUUAAUUAUGCCAUCUUGCAACCUAAUCAUUAAUUAUCAGUUAAAGAGGACAGUUGAGAACCUAAUCAUUAAUUAUCAGUUAAGAGGGCAGUUGAGAAUUGAACCAUGAACUUUGAAGGCCAUGUGGGUGUGUUUGUAUACAUCAAGCAAACUUAAGUGAUUAUUAGUUGGGUGAAAAUGAAAGCAAAGUGCAUAUUUAUGACCAACUGUAGAAGAGAGCGAAAGCGCCGAACGAUCGGAUAUAGGGAGCUUUUGAUGACUUGGCUCAAAUAAAGCCAGUUAUAUAUUUAUGCAUGGAGAAAUUAUGGAGAAAUUAUGAAAGUACAAGUUGUUUUUUGUCAUUUUGAUUUUUUCCCGAGGUGUAGUCAAAUGUUUUUCAAAUAAUUUUAUUUAAGUGGUCAUCCAAGUUCAAAUUCAUGGGGAGAUUAGUGAUCAGAAAAGAAAUUUAGGUUUUACCCACCCCUUAUUUUUUUUAGGAAAAAAAUGAAAUUAUAAUGUGACUAAAUACGUUAAAACUUAUCGGAGAGAACAAAUUCGGUAAAUUCUGAAGAAUGAAAAUUACAAUUAAGAGUACAAAUAAUUAUGAAACUCUCUUUGCAAGUGUAGAUAUCUUUUGAAACAUGGAUCUCAAUCGAAUAAGAAUGCACCUCCUACUCCUCUUCUGACUCCUAUAAGAUAUUUGCAACCCGAGCGAACACACCACACUGCUCGAGUUAUCACACCGGUGUCGGUGCACAAGGCAAUUAGGUUAUGAUUUUUUUUUAAUUAAAGAAAAAAAUCAAGCCUUACCUAAAAGCAAUUAGUAAUAAAAGUUUAGUGGAAUCUAAAGAAUAACAUUACUAGCUGGCUACAACUCCUUGGUCGUGCAUAUAUGCAUCCAAUAUAUGCUGUAUAUGGUCCAUAUCCGUCAUUUUCUUAUGAUUUCUGUGAGGACUACUUAAUUUAUUAUUAAUUACUUGUGGAUUACCAACUAAGGAUGAUGAUGGUGAUGAUGAUGAUGAUGAUGGUAUGAAAAUAUUAAAGCGCUAAAACUAUAAACAAAUAUAGUUAAAAGACAGUAAUUUCAUUUGGAGAGUAAACAUGAUCUAUCUAGUCAAUGCAGCAAAGGUAUUCAAAUCAAGCCCAACAGGAUGAUAGCCUACAUGGUCUAGAGCUCAACAUCUGCAUUUUCCAAAAGACUGCUAUAUGUAUGUAUGUAUUUAUGUAUGUAUGUAUGUAUGUAUGUAUGUAUGUAUAUAUAUGCAGUGUUAGUGCACCGCUCCUGAACCUGUCAUGUGUAUAUGUUUCUUUGUGUGUGUGUGUGUGUGUGUGUGACUUUGAGCAGGUAUGUGAAGAUUGAUUUAUUCAAUAUUUGCAUUUUCUAAAGACUGUUAUAUGUAUGUAUGUAUGCAUGUAUGUAUGUAUGCAUGUAUGUAUGUAUGUAUGUAUGUAUGUAUGUAUGUAUGUAUAUACAGUGUUAGUGCACCGCUCUUAACCUGUCAUGUGUAUAUGUUUCUAUAAAUAUGUGUGUGUGUGUGUGUGUGUGUGUAACUUUGAGCAGGUAUGUGAAGAUUGAUUUAUUCAACAUUUUUCUUCUUUUCAGAAGGAUUAAAUCCAUUUAGAUUUUAGCCACUAGGCUUUAGCCAGUGGUUAGAACUCAUAACUCACAAUUGUGAGGUCAUGGAUUUCGAGCCCCACAAUGCAUUGUGCGGAUUUAAUUUUCUUCCUCAAUUUUAGUGAAGGUAGUGUCUUCUCCCUAUUGAAAUGUGAGUGGACUAGACGUCCCUCAAAUAUUAGAAAUAGUAAAAAUCUGGGCGGACUUCAUAAGAAUUGAUGUAAAAUAGUCCUAGCAAUAAUCUGAAUUGUAAAUGUCAGUUGUAAUCUCAUGUAAUAUGAGUUUUACUCUUGAGCAAUAGUCUCAUGUAAUUAAAAAAAAUCAAUUAAAAUUUAUAUGUAAUUGUAAAACAUUUAAGUAAGGAAUGAUUUAGAGCAGUUGAAUUUUUAAGUCUAUAUCUGGGCCCUACCUGUGAGUAGGUUUAAGCAUGUGUCUCUCAGUUCAAGAAUUGUGUUUCUGUUACUUGCUUAUCUUCUGAUCUUCAUUCAUCAUUUCUCGAAUCAUCAUGGAAAUAUACACUUGCUUUAGGCUAUUUAUAAAAAAUAAAUUAUGCAUAUAGUUUUGGCUGCUGACUUGUGAUUAAUGCUUCAGUUGGUAGAUUGAGAGAUGGGAUAGAAAGUCUUCCAUCUUGAUUUGCCUAAUAUGAUUUUCUUCUUUACCUGCUGGCAAAGAAAGGGGAAAAGUUUCUUGAUCUUCCUUAUGUUGUAAAAUGGAUGAAUGUCUCUUUUAGCGGGAUAUUGAGCUAUAUUGAAGCAACUGCUGCGGAGAAGCUCAACAAUAAUGAGUGCACUCCUACAGAUUUGUGCUAUUCCCUGCAGGUUAGUUGCAUUUUUCAUCCUUCAAUCCAUUGGAACAGCACGAGCCAUAGCUUUAAAGACUGCAAUUAUAUGUUGCCAUUUCUUCAUGGAUCGUUAUAUGAAUCGUGUGUUAACGUAAUUGGAAAUUUACAUUUUGCUUGAUGAUAUGCGUUAUAGGAAACUCUUUUUGCAAUGCUUGUGGAGAUCACGGAACGGGCAAUGUCACAUUGUGACAAAAAGGAUGUUCUUAUUGUAGGCGGUGUGGGUUGUACGAGCGCUUGCAAGAGAUGAUGAGAACAAUGUGCUCUGAGCGGGGUGGAAGGCUGUUUGCAACGGAUGACCGCUAUUGCGUUGACAACGGAGCAAUGAUUGCGUACACCGGUCUGCUUGCUUUUGCUCAUGGCUCAUCAACUCCAUUAGAGGAAUCAACCUUUACCCAGCGAUUCAGGACCGACGAAGUGCAUGCAGUCUGGAGAGAAAAGAAGAUUCAGCUUGCAAGAAUGGUGUCAUUAAGGAAACUAGCUAAAUCGGAUGGUAGAUUUAGAGGUAGAAUUAUUCUGGCAGUGCCAGCAGUAAUUUAGUACUUAGCUCGCGAAUGAAUUUUGAUUAAAGAUGUUGUAAAUUUAAAGUAGGAAGCAAAUUAUUUUGUGUUCAAGCAUUUAAAAUAGUUUGUAUUUUGCUCUUAGUAAUGUACAUCCACGAUUUUGCAAGUCGAAGCUUUAGAAUUUACAUUAUUAAAGAAAAUUCUAGGGAUGAGUUAUAUAAAGUACUCUUAAUUAUAACGAGUGAUGGUGUAGUGGACGAUGUUAUUUAUGUUUUCAUAUUAUCAUGAACAUACGUUGGUUAAUUUACAACUUCAACUUGUGCCGAUCGAAAGACGUUGUUCGCCAAAUCGUAAAUCCGAAAAAAUAUUUCAUGGGCUAAUGGGCUUGCUUAGUUGAGAUGAGAUGGAGAAUGAAGGGGGGUUUUUAAUUAAAUAUUCUUUAAUAGUUGUAAAAUUAUUUAAAUACUUUUUUUUUUUUUUUCAUAGAUACCCUAAUAAAUGUGUGUGAAGUCUAAAAUGCCCUUAAUGAAUGCAUGGAAUCCACUCUUUUUCACUAUCUUCUUAGUUCUUACACUCAAAUCUCUUCUUACCAAAUUUUUUUCAAAAUUAUAAUCUCUUAUGCAAAUACAACUAUGUAUUCACUUCUUUUUUUUUUUAAUAAUUUUUGUUGACAUUUUUUGCAUAGCAACAAAUAUAAAUUCUUAGCACAAAUUAAGUCUUUAAAGAACUAAAUUAUUCUAAUGAAUAAUGAAAAAAGUCGUGUAAUACAUGAAAUCGUGUAAUACAUGAAGGUCUUGUAAUAGUCAUGUAAUACAUGAAGAUCUUGUAAGACAUGAAGUCGUGUAAUAUAUGAAUGUCAUGUAAUAAACAACUAAAAGUCGUGAAAGUCCCGUAAUACAUGAUUCAAGAUUGCGUAAUAAUAUAAAAAGUCAUGUCAUAUACGACUGAAGGUCGUGUAUUACACAACCUUGAAUCUCAUGUUACAUGACCUUACACGACUAAAUCGUAUGUUACAUGACCUUACACAACUUAAUUAUAAUCGGUACAAUCCAUCAAUUUUUCACCAUUUACAUGGAGCAAACGGCUAGAAAUUUGUAUGUUAUAAGAGACCACAACUAAUUUAAUCUAUUUUUACGAUAUAAGAUCCUUUUUUUUUCUUUAAAUAUAAAAAAGAAAACUAAUUACAACGAAUUAUUUUCCUCAAGUAGUUAGAUUCCAACAUUUUUACAGUAAAGAAUUAGCUUUCAUCGAUGAUUGUACAACAACGAACCAAGCUUCUCUUUCUCAGUUGCAGCAAUUUCCCCUUCUCAGGCUCAGUUUGCUCAUGUGUUGAUGUCUGGUUCAAUAUGUAUUAGUGUUUAUUUGAGUCAUGCUAUGUUUGAGUUGUGUAAGUGUUUUGAGAUAAUGAUAGUUUAGUAAUUUUAUGUAAGUUUUUAGAGAGUAUUGAUGAAAAUUUUGGCAAAUUCUGUUUUUAGAGUAUUGAGAUAAUUUUGAAUGUAUCAAGGUGUAUCUAGGGCUAGGUAAAAUACUAAAAUACCCGAUCUGCCCCGAUCCGACCCAAAAAAUAUUAGGUUUGAAUCGGAUCAUAUUGUUAACAAAAUCUGAUCGGGUGUAACUUUGCCAACCCGAUCGGAUUGGAGGAAACCUAAUCUGAUCCGAAAACCCGAUCUGGUUGGCUUCACAAAAAAAAAAAGAAAAAAAAAAACUAAUGAAACAAACUAAAAAAGUGGCAAACAAAACAAAAUCGGAUUCAAACUACACACAAAGCAAAUCUUAGAUCUAAAUUAAAAAAAAUCUGUAAGCACACACAAACAUUCACACCAUACACAGUCACACACAAAUAGAGGCUGGGCCUCGGAGAUCGGAGAUGUCGAGAUGCCAAAUAGUGAAGCAGCAGCGAGCAGAUCGGAGAUGCAACCUCGUGAAGCCGCGAACCAGCAGCCAGCAGUCGCUGACGCGAUCAUGCGAAGCCAAGCCAUCAGAGAUCGGAGAUGUCAGCGAAGCAGCGGCGAGCAGAUUGGAGACGCAACCGCAAGAAGCAAUAGCCAACAGAUCAGAGAUGCAACCGCGCGAACCAGUAGUCAACAGUCACCGACGCGAUCGUGCGAAGCCAAGCCAUCGCUGCAACCGUGACAUGCCGAUGGAAUUUGCUGCACCUCGACUGCUACCGCUUGCUGCCGUUGGCUUCACCGGUUACCACAACCGCUGCAACUUAAUUCACCUCCACAUUCACUGUCACCAAGUUUUUCAUGGUAUUGACUAUAUUGUUUUAAAAAAUUUAAUUUAAAAAGCUUCAACAAAAUUUAUCUUGAGAUAAGGUUGAUUGUUUUGCUUGAUUGUUUCUGAAAUUAACCCAUAAAUAUAGAAUGGAUAUAUAACCCGAAUGCUUUUAAAUUUGAAUCGGAUCCGAAUUAAUCCGAAUUUUUUAUCCAAUCCGAUCCGAAUAUAUUCGGAUUGGAUCGGAUGGGAUUAAUAAUUCGGGUUGAGUUCGGAUGAUUUUUUUCCCAAUCCGAUUGGAUCAACCCGAACCGGAUCCGAAUCCGAAUCCGAUUUUGCAACCCCUAGAUGUAUCUGCUGCAAAUUACCUCAAAUGAAGGCCAGGCCCAAUCAAGCCCAAAGAUACACAACGCAGCGAACUAAACCAGAAGGGCACGAUCAAUUUCGCAGUUUCCAUAUUCCACCACACGACUGACAGAAGAAGAAGAAGAAGAAGCAUCAAUCGAAAGGGUUAGCGAUCGUUGACAAAACAAGUGAAAGGAUGGGGCACACAGGCGAGUUCUUCAGGCGAAGAGAUGGGUGGAGAAAGCAUCCACUGCUGACGAGUAAUCUGCGUCAAGCCACUCCAGGCCUUGGCAUCGCUCUCGUCGCUUUUGGAAUCUAUCUUGUUGGCGAACAAGUCUACAAUAGAGUCAUCGCUCCUUCUCCUUCUCAUUCUCACCACACCCACCACCAGCACUCCGUUGCUUCCUCUUCUCACUGAAUCUCUUCAGCUCUCCUGCUUCUCUCGGGUCUGUUGUUGAAUUGAAUUGCCCCCACAUUUGACUGGAAAAAUCUCUCUCUCUCCUUUUUUUUUUCCUCUUAUGGCUUAUGUUCUUUUCAUAACUUUUUGUUAGGUUUUGUUUUUUGUGUGAUUUUUGGAGAUAUAGGAUUUUGUUGGGGAUUUUAUGAAAUGGGUAUGUGUAAAUUUUUAGGUUUUUCUUAGCUUAGAUUAGCAAUCUAGUCAGAUUCAUCCAUCGUGCUGCAGCUUCUGACCUGCAUAUUUGAAAAUAAAUUUAUUUUCUUGCCUGUUUUUGAAGAAUUAGCAUUGGUCUGUCUUUUUUUUUUUUAAAAAAAAAAAUGACAUGUUUGUUAACCAUGCGAGUCUGUUUAAAAUUUUGGAUUUUAUGGGUUUUUUGUGAAAUGAAUAUGUCUGAAAUUUAUGUUUUUAUUGAUAUUUAGAUCUUGUCGGGUUCACCUGCUCUCUGGCCAGCUGGGUAGUUCGCUUGAUUUCUUUCGCUUUUUAGGUAUUAUGCUUAUUUUCUUGCUAUUGGUGCUAGAUUUAGGAUUUUCUGGUACUUUAUGACAUGUUUGUAUAUAGUUUAGGUUUUUAUUUGUAUUAUGACCACAUUGGUUUCAUUGCUCUCAUGAUUUCUGGUUGCUAAAUCAUACUCUUUUGACGUGCAUCAUAUGGUUAUUGUCUUGUUUUAUUCACAUGAUCUUUAGUUGAGCCGAACGUGUAGAGUUGUUACUGUUCAACAGGGGUUUCUAUUUAGUAAUUGCUCCAUGCGAGGCAUUCCCACUUUUUCCUUCUACAAUGUGGCUGCUAUUUCAUUCAAUUUGACUAUGAUUUUGUUGUUGUGGCUAAUUGAUCAUCUUUGAUGGAGGAAUGUUAGGAAAUUAAGUUGUAUUAAAUACUAAAUAAAGACAAUUUGGUUAGGCAUAAGACGAAUGAAAAACGUUUGUUCUUAGAUGCAGGGCAGUAAGUCAUUUACUUACACCGAUGAAGUUAUAACUAACACUAGUUUCAUAUGGUUGAGUGAUUUACUUAUAUGUUUAUUUUAUCUGUUGGGAAUGCAGUUGUGGGGAUUAGCUAGUUCAACCAGCAAGUUCUUUUUCACUUUUAUGGGGUAUGUUAAGAAUGAAUGACAUUCAAACUGGGGAUUUGAUGCCAGGGGCUUUUUAACUCUAUGGAGGGCAGGGGAUAAGGGUCGAAAAGAGCACCUUGCAGAUUGUCAUUUCUAGGAUGAGCAAUAAUGCCCUUCUGAAAAUUCAUUGGUUUGUCAGUGGUUGAUUUUUUACCAUCCAAUUUUUUAUCCUACAAUUUUUUGGGCUAAUUGAGAAAUCAUAUGGUGUUAAAUACUGUAUCUUACUUGGUAGGAUUUUACGAAAUAAUAUUUGCUUAUGAUUGACUUAACAAAACAAUAUCCGGUGUGCUUGUAUUAACCCUGCUGUGUUUUCGGAAGGCUUGCAAGUAAUUUCACAGCACAGAGGGCUGCUUUGUUAUUCUGUUUAGUUGGUUAUUGAUGUAGAACAGGCCGUAACUUGGACAGUUUUAAGUUUUUCUUUAUUUGUUCUUUAUUUUAAGUUUUUCUAAAAUUCUGUCACUAGAACUUUAAUGUGUUGAAAUAAUUUGAAUUUACGCAGUUUGGUAAAUUCACGUUAUUUAGGGUUUUAGUAUAAAGGGAGCUGAACCCUAUUUGUUUUGGUUGGUUGAUUCGUGAUAUAUAUAUAUAUAUAUCUUUUUGAGAAGAUUCGUUCUCUCUUUUGGUUAUCCCCAUUAAAGUUUACAAUUCCCCUUUAUUAUUCUUUGAUGAGGAGUGUUUGUGAGUCUGUGAUUUAAGCUGACAGAAUUGUUGCAUGCAAAUUUAAUAUGAUCAGACAGAUCCUCUAUCUAGUCCUCUUAAGUACUAUCUAUCUUGAUUUUUUUUUUUUUUUAAUUGGUGGCUGAAGAUGGUGGUGACAUGUUGGAAGAGAAUUGAAGUUUGGACUUAUUUUCAUUUCCCAUUUUGUUGUUUGAUUUAAUAAGAUCAACUUUGCCAUGUUUAGGGUGACUUUGUUGUGUAUUAAGUUUAGAGUGUGAGACUUGAUCUGUUAUGUAGAUCUUUAAUCUUUUGCUUUUGAUAUCGUUAUGCAUUCAAUGGCUCUACAUUUGGUGCCUGAAAUGUUUCGAAUAAAGAAGUUUCCUGUUAUAAAUAUAUUGUCUUAUUUAUUUAAUUUUUUUUGGUCAAGUUCUCAAUUUUUAUGCAUAUCGUUUCUAUGGUUCGUUUCCUGAUCUUAAUUUUUUUGUACCAUUCAUUGAAAAAAGAAAUGUAACUUAAAAUGGUGACUUAAAUUUUCAUCCGUUACAUUUCAUUCUAUCUAAAGGUGUAUAUGUUAUACCUAAGGAUUUUUAUAUUUGAAAAUUACUCAGUGUGUGUGUGUUGAAAACAUAUUAUCCCUUAUUUUAUAUAUAUAGCCCUUCUAAUAAGAGAAUUCCUUAAUUUUAUUCCAAGUAAAGGACAAUUCAAAAGAAAAAAAUACGUAUUUCAAUAUACUAAAAAAUAAAAUAUACUGUUUCGGAGUGUGUUUGUCAACCUUUUAAUUUGUCUUUUGCUUGGAUUAAAAUAGGUGAUCCCUUACUGUAAAAUCACUUCAUAUAAUCAAUAUAAUACACUAUAUUAGUGUGUAUUUUACUUCUCUUUUAGUUUAUCCCUUAAUUAUUCAACAGAUCGCUUACUAGAUAAUGACUCAUAUAUUUUAUUUUGACUCAAAUUUUUGACAUAAAUAUUGAGUUAUUAGUUUCGUACAAUUUAAUGGUAAAUAAAUUGGUAUCAUUAGUGGUCUUUGUGUGGGUGUAUAAAUGGAAACAUUGUUUUUUAUGGAAACAUUUUUAAACCAUGAGAUUUUGAAAGAGUUGGUGUACGCAUUAUGAAAACAAAAAGAUAUAAGCGCCCGCACUUGAUAAUAAUUAUUUAAAGGACUAUGCGUCGGGUGGAAGGAACAAUUAUCAUAUCUUGAUUGAACAAACCACUAGGUCAAUUCGGUUCUUAUCUAAGGACACGAAAUAAUUAAUUAAUUAUGUUUCAUUUUUAUUAUGAUAAUUCCCAGUUUAUAAUCAUGCCGUUAAUUAAGAAAUAUACAGUUUACGACUGGGCCUCAUAAAAAAAAAAAUUAUUUUAACUAGUGGAAAAGAACAAAAUAUUUAAAUUGGUCUUGGAGAAUGGUAGGCGAAUGAUGCCAAAUUAAAUUUGCAUGAAAAAUCCAAAAGCAUGUGAGACUUGCUCAAUUAUUGUGUUAUGUGUCCUACGCUAUAAUUAAAGCAAAUGAAAUCCGUGACAAUAUAUAUGUAAUCAAGUAGCUGGUCCAAGGCGCCAAAAAAAAAAAAAAAAAACAAGUAGCUGGUCCGAGGGCGAGGACGGAUUAGGCCUUUUAAUUGCGACAGACAUUAAUUUUUUUUUUAAAAAAUUAAAAUUAUUUGAUUGUCAAUAAAAUCGUUUAUUUAAAAUUAUAAAAUUAUUUUAAUAAAUAAGUAUAUAAAAAAUAUAUUGUUAAAGGAAUGAAAUAAAUAAGAGUAUUUUAAAAAAUCUUUUUUAAAAAAAAAAACAUCACAACUUUAAUGGCCUAAAAGUUUAAACUUUUAUUAAUAAACGUAAAAUAAUUUAUUUAAUCUCUAAAAGUUCAGCUCAAAAUACAUCCAAACAACACAAAAAAUUUUAAAAAGAGCUUUAAAAACGAAAUAAAUAUUUUUAGACAUUAGAUAAGCUAUAUUAAACAUGCACUUAUUACAUAUAUAGAUGGAUUAUAAUUUAAUAUCUACUCCCAUAAUUAUUAGGGUUAAAUCUUGUCUUAUACUAGGAACAUUACCCAACACCUGGGGACUUAGAACUCAUAUCUUAAUUAGGGAUGGCAGUUGUACCCGCAAACCCGCAAAUCCGCCCAAACCCACCCGCCAAAACCCACCCGUUGCGGGUGAUUUUACCCGUUGUGGGCGGGUUUAGUAUUAUAAAUUAAAACCCGCACAUGGAUGCGGGUGGGUUGGUAUUAACCUUAUAUCCGGUGGAUACCCGCAUGGAUAUCCACCAAACCCGCAAUAUUUUUUUUCAAAUAUUUUUAAUUUAAUUUAAAUAUAAAAAUGUAUAAAGAAAAUAAUGUCAUUAAUCAAAUUACCAAAUAGACAAAGGCUCAAAGUUGUGUAUGUGUGUAUGUGGCCCAUCUCUUAUUCUAAAGUCAUAACCUAAAGAAAACUAAAGGCAUUUCCCUUCGAAUUAGUAUUUGAAAAUAUUAAUCUUAAUUAUUAUUAUAGGCAUUGUGUUGGAUGGGUGCUUAUGGUGGUGAAUGAAAUGAAUAUCUUCUCUUGGAUCUUGUUUUAAAUGAUAAUAUGAAAUGUAAUUAUUAUUUUUAGAUACUAGUUUGUGUUUUUUAAAUAGAUUUGUGUAAUUUAUACUUAAAUUUGAGAAUUUGAAUUGAAUUGGUGUAGAAAUUUUAAUUUUUCAUUGACAUUGUUUAAAUAUAAAAUUGAGUAUGCUAUAUGGAAUUUGAGGUUAUUAUUAUAAAUUUAUAUAUUAAAUAUUUAUGAUUUUAAAUACGGAAACCCGCAAAAAAUCCGUCGGAUACCAUUGCGGGUUUGGUAAUUAUUAAAACCCGCUGCGGGUUGCGGGUGGAUUUAGUAAUUUAAAUUUUGUGCGGGUUUGGGUUUGGUAAUGGCAAACCCGCUGCGGACGGUGCCCAUUUCUAUCCCUAAUCCUAAUGUUGAGGGCAUGGGUUCUUACCUAUACCCCUAGUGGGAAGUCACUUAUCUAUAACAGUUUCUUUGCCAUAAAUAUCUGUUUACGGAAGAGCAUUAUUCACCAUACAAAACCUCUAGUUGGAUUAGCCCUCUCCUUUUAACUUUUUCGUUUUUUUGAAUAUAUAUAUAUACACACACACACAAAUCAUAAUUGAAGCGCCAUAGAUAUAAUAAGAAGAACUUGCAACUAGAAGCUGCUGGCAUCUCCCAAACAAGCUUGAAAAAGUAGUCAGUAAGAGUUGUGCACAGGAAAAAAAACGCAUGGGAAAUAAUAAUGUGAUGGGAUUGGGAGGCGGUGUCUUGGCAGCGAUCAUAGUUAUGACGAUACUCUUCUUCACCGCAAAUCAAUCUUGUGCUGCAGGCAACAUUACUAAUUUCCAUAUUGAUCCUGAUGUGUUGUUCUUUCAUGGUGAUCCGGAAUUGGAGUCGGCUGCUGCUGCUGCAGGAAAAGGCGUGGUGAAUUUGAAACCCCUGAUCCGCCCUCCAACAUUCGAUUGCGACAGAGUCGUUUAUCGGCCAUGUGUACCUAAUCCCCAGAAUUCCAAAAAGGGUGAACAUUGCGCACCUGGUCCUGGCGGCACGUAUGCCCCAAAUCGAGGGUGCCAGUAGCAAAUGAUACAUCUUUAGUCUCCAAUCUUCAUCUUCAUCCUCAACUAUGUCAUGAUGUGGGCUUAUUUUGCGUGUUGUAUUUAAUUUAUAAGUAGCUAAAAUUAAUUAAUAAUCUCUCUUUCCCUUCCCUUCUUAAUUCUCUCUAUCUGUAUAUUAUUAAUUAUUAAGCUUUAAGUUUGUGCUGCUGCAUCCAUGCAUAUGUCCUAAUAAAUUAAUUAAGAUUCCUAAUUUAAUUAGUAUUAAUUGAUUUGUUGUUAAAUUAGCCAGGUUCCUCCAUCUUUUCAUAUUCUCUUUUUUCAAUUAUACCAUAACCUUCCUGAGUUUAUUGCUUUUCCAUGUGCGUACGUAUUAAAAGCCUGGAAAUUAAAAGUAAUUAUGGCAUUUUAUAUUGACCGGUACCUACUCUUAGUUACCAGCCUCUUGAGGGGAAACCGGCUGCGAUAUAAAUCAAACAACUGAAAGCAUAACUUCAUUAGAUUUCCUACAAAUGCUUUUGUAAAUAACAUUCAUUGAUUUAUCUGCUCCCUCCGACCCGCCUUAAUUGAUUGUUACGACAACAUCAUCCCAAAUGUUGUAAUUACAAUUAUAUCUGUUAGCCUUUUUUUUUUUUAAAUAAAUAAUUACACAGAGACACAGAUGCAAUUUUUGAUCACAAAGUAGACCUUUCAUUGCUCACAACACAUCAAAUACAUUUUGCACUUCAGUUGGUAUUGAACCAAGCCAAAUAGCACCUGAUUUUUCUUCUAAGCCAAAUUUGGCUAAGAAAUGGGCAUGAGCAUUACAAUUUCUGGGAACAUACUGAAAAAUAAUUUUAUGAAGCUCCUUACUUUGUUUUUGGAUCUCUGAAAUUACCCAGAAAAUUUCUAUUCUGCUACCCUUAGUGUUGUUAACUAACUCGACUACCUCCACACAGUCCGACUCUAUAAUGCAUGAGGUUAUGCCUGCUUCUCUCGCCACUUGGAUGCCCCACUGGACAGCUUCAGCCUUUGCAAAACUUACACUUCCUUUAAAUUGAGACUGAUAAAAACUAGCUGCAACCACCUUGCCAACCGAGUUUCUUACCAAAGCUCCCAGACCUACCCUGUGAUCCUUGCUACUUUUGGCUGCGUCAACAUUGAUCUUAUACAUGUUGUCAGGAGGGGCGACCAGUUUUGUAGCUUCUCUCUUCUAGAAAUGUCAAGAUGCGAUGCAUUAAGAUUCCUUACUCUUUACACCCAGUCGAGAUUGCUAGCUAGCUUAUGAUACAUCUUUAAUCUGCAAUCUUCAUCUUUAUCCUCAACUAUGCCAUGAUGUGGGUUUAUUCUACAUGCUUGUUGUAUUUAAUUUAUAAGUACAGCUAUAAUUAUUUACUAAUCUCUCUUUCCCUUCCCUUCUUAUUUCUAUCUAUCUAUCUAUAUCUUAUUAAUUAUUAAGCUUUAAGUUUGUACUGCUGCAUCCAUGCGUAUGCAUUAAUAAACUAAUUAAUUAAAAUUUCUAAUUUGAUUAGCACUAAUUAAUUCGUUGUUAAAUGAGCUAGGUUAAUUACUCCAUCUUGAUGCUAUCGUUCAUGUUCACUUAUUUCAAUUCUACUAUACCCUUCCCGAGUUUAUUACUUUUCCAUGUGCGUACAUAUUAACAGCCUGGAGAUGUAAUUAGUUAAUUGAUUAACCAUUGAUGGCGUUUUGCAUCGAGCUGGACCUACUCUUAAUUACCGGCCUUGAAGGGAAACCCGCUGCGAUAUAAAUCAAACAACUGAACGUACAACUUCAUUAGAUUUCCUGCAAUAAUGCCUAACAUUCAAUGAUUUAUCUGCUCCCUCCGACCCGCCUUAAUUAAUCGUUACCACAACAUCAUCCCGAAUGUUGUAAUUACGUACAAUUAUAUAUGUUAGCUAUUUUUCUUUUUAAUAAAUAAUUUUACAGAGACAGAUACAAUUAGUGUGGCAUAUGGAAGGAUGUUAGUUGAAACUUGGAAGCGAUAUCACUUAAUCCAUCAUGCUUUUGCCCAACUUCUAUAUUCAAG